CAAAUCUAUAUUAAAUAUUAGUAAGAAAAUUGUAAAAUCUAUAAUAUUUAAUAAAAUGUAUUUUUAAAUAUAAAUUAAAUUAAAAAAAUUCUUUAUUGCACAUGGUGCAGGAACACCUAGUUAAUUUUAUAAGCCGUACAAUCGUUGAAAAAAUUCUUUAUUGCACAUGGUGCAGAAACACCUAGUUAAUUUUAUAAGCCGCACAAUCGUUGAACUUACCAUAAAAGCUUUUAAAAUUAGCAUGAUUUGGCCACUUAACAGACCGUAGCCGAACCCUAAGCAAAAUAAAAGAUGAUGUUUCUUAAAAAAUAUUUAUUCACUUAUUCUUUGGGUAAAUCUCCAAAAUAGCACAUUUCUAAGUUUAUGUCACAAGAAUAGCCCUCAAAAACUAAAAUGACCAAAAUAGCAUUUUAUGUUUUAAAAAAUUUAAUUUUUUUUUAUUUUUCAAAAUUUGAAAUCUUAUCCCAAAACCCUACUCCCUAAAACCUAAACUUUAAACCCUAAACCCCAUCCCUAAACUCUAAACCCUAAAUCCCACCCCUAAACUCUAAACCUUUAAUCCUAAACCCUAAACCCCAAACUCUAAACCCUAAACCCUAAAUCAUAAACUCCACCUCUUAACUUUAAACCCUAAUGUCUAAAUUAAUUUACCAUUAGGGUAUAAGUGUAUAUUUAUCUCUUUUGAUAAAACCUUAAGUGCUAUUUUGGUCAUUUUUAUUCUUAAAGACUAUAUUUGUGACAAAAACUUUUUUAGUGGUAUCUUAGUCAUUUUCUCUUAUUCUUUUUGCUCCACAAAAAUAAUUUUAUGUAUUUAAUAUUAAAACACCUUGAAUUUAUAUUUUAAAUGUAGAAUUAUAAAUUUUAAAUAAAAUUAAACUAAUAGUAAUUUAGUAAACUCAAAUAGUUUUCUUAAAAUUUAAUGCUAUUAAAGAAUAUUUUUUAAUAAAGACGGAAAAUUUAUAUUUUUAAAAAAGUUUCCAAAACGUUUUAUUUUGUGGAAAUAAUUUUUUAUUAUUUUAUGAAAAUUUAAGCACAGUUUUAUUUGCACGACACUACACUAGAUUGAUAUUAUAUAUUUACUUAACACAUACUUUUUAGUUUAUAUAAAGGAGAAAUUAUAUAUUUCUAAAAUUUGAAUUGUAAAUUUGUAAGUCUCUUUUAUCGUGUAGAAGCAUGAUUACCUUUUUUCUGAACCAAACCUUAUUGGGCCCGAUCAAGAAUCUGUACUAUUCUGCACUUUUGCCAACCUAAUAGAGAAUUUACUGAAAAUAGUUAAAGCCCAGUAGAAACAGCUGACGUAAUCAAAGUUCACAUCUGUCGUAACGGCGUCACGAGUGAAACAACAUUUGUAUUGUAAAUUUGUAAUAUUCAGGAACAGUCUUUUAACACCGUCAUCUUCUCGCUCUCUCGCAUAAAGGAAAAGGAAGGCUCUAGAACCCUUUUACUCACCCGAAUAUAUAAACCACGUUACCAACCUCAACUCUCCUCACAAACUCUUCUCUUGCGAUUCGUUUACUUUCGUGCUUUUUGAAUCGAGAUGGAUGAAGAUUUCGAGAUGCCUCCCGUCGGUGGAAUGAACGGCGACGACGAGAUGGAUUUCGGCGACGACGCCUCCUUCCUCAAAGUCGGCGAGGAGAAGGAGAUCCAGCAAGGCUUGAAGAAGAAGCUCCUCAAGGAAGGCGAAGGAUUCGAGACUCCGGAGAACGGCGAUGAAGUCGAAGGUAAACUUAACAUCGAUUCGAAUCUCCAAUUUGUCUUCUUUUCGAUUUGACUCAGCUGAAACUUAAUUGAUCUCUUCUGCAGUGCACUACACUGGUACUUUGCUCGAUGGGACCAAGUUCGAUUCCAGCCGCGACCGAGGAACGCCUUUCAAAUUCACUCUCGGUCAAGGUCAGUGGAUUCAAUCUCUUUGAUUAUGAUCGAUAAGCUUAGUCCCAAGCGCGUAUCUUGAAUUUGAGAUUAUAGUUACAUUCUAGUAUCACUGUGCUGCUAGGUUUUAUCAGUGUUUAUCAUUAUUAGCCUAAAGGGAUUAACUUUGGUAGAGAUCUGUGUGAAUUGUUUGCUUAUUAUUUUGUCUUGGCAAUGUGAUUGCAGGUCAGGUUAUUAAAGGAUGGGAUAUUGGUAUUAAGACUAUGAAGAAAGGCGAAAACGCUGUUUUCACUAUCCCUUCCGAGCUGGCUUAUGGGGAAUCUGGCUCGCCGCCGACCAUCCCUGCCAAUGCCACGCUUCAGUUUGAUGUGGAGUUGCUUUCUUGGUCUAGUGUCAAGGACAUAUGCAAAGAUGGUGGUGUGUUUAAGAAGAUUGUUGCUGCGGGAGAGAAGUGGGAAACCCCAAAGGAUCUCGAUGAAGUUCUUGGUUUGUGUCCAGUUUCUUUGUGACUUACUUUAGAGAUUGGUCUGUGUUUUUGAUAUCCCUAACGGUAUUCUCCUGUGUAUUUGUUUGUUCAGUUAAGUAUGUGGCUAAGCUCGAGGAUGGUACUGUUGUUGGGAAAUCUGAUGGUGUUGAGUUCACUGUUAAAGACGGUUAGUGCUCUGUUUCUUCUGACAAAUGAUGGAGAUGUAAGAUAGUAUGUUCUGUCCCUGACAAUCUUUGUGGUCUGUGUCAUUAUAUAGGUUACUUCUGUCCUGCACUUGCUAAGGCUGUGAAAACCAUGAAGAAGGCAGAGAAGGUUCUUCUGACUGUUAAACCACAAUGUAAGACAGUUUUUUUUUCAUUUGUGUUUUUAUGGAUCUUGGUAUGAUGUUGCACUUGUUGUCUCUUCCCAACUUGCUUAUUAAUGCGACAGAUGGUUUCGGGGAGAAGGGCAAGCCAGCCUCUGCUGGUGAAGCUGCGGUUCCUCCAAACGCGACGCUUGAGAUCGAGCUGGAGUUAGUUUCCUGGAAGACAGUUUCUGAAGUGACCGAUGACAACAAGGUCAUCAAGAAAAUCUUGAAAGAAGGGGAAGGAUAUGAGCGUCCCAAUGAGGGGGCGGUUGUGAAAGGUUUAUAUUUCAGAUUUUGAGUGCACUUAUCUCUUGUCGACUUGUCCAAUAGCAGUUUCUUAAAUGUCUUUUUUUUUGUUCUUUCUGGCAGUGAAACUGAUAGGUAAACUUGGAGAUGGUACUGUGUUCCUAAAGAAAGGUCACGGUGAAGGUGAAGAGCCCUUUGAGUUCAAAACAGAUGAAGGUAACUACACUUCUGCAAAACUUCUGUAAACUUUUCGUUGGUUAUUCCAACUUUUAUCGUUCUAAUUGAUUUUGCUGGGUGCUUUUUAACAGAGCAAGUGAUCGAUGGGCUUGAUAAAGCUCUGUUGAAGAUGAAGAAGGGUGAAGUGGCAUUGGUGACCAUAGACCCAGUGUAUGCUUUUGGUUCAACUGAGUCAAAGCAGGAAUUAGCUGUGGUGCCGCCAAACUCAACCGUCUAUUAUGAGGUUGACCUUGUGUCUUUCGACAAGGUUAGUGCAGUUUUGAGUGUUUACCCCUCUUUCAGAGAAUAAAGCAAAUGUGGGUGUCCAACACUUGUUUGUCACUGAUCUUUUAGGAAAGGGAAUCGUGGGACAUGAACACUGAGGAGAAGAUUGAAGCUGCUGGUAAGAAGAAGGAAGAAGGAAAUGCCAAGUUCAAAGCAGGCAAAUACGCACUCGCUUCCAAGAGAUACGAGAAGGUAAUAAAUAUGAAAGCGUUAGUGUUAUUUUACGUUGAAUAUUAUCUCACAUGGUUUGGUUUCUUCUCAGGCUGUCAAAUACAUUGAAUACGACUCAUCCUUCAGCGAGGAUGAGAAGAAGCAAGCAAAAGCAUUGAAAGUGGCGUGCAAUCUGAACGAUGCAGCUUGCAAACUGAAGUUGAAAGAAUACAGGCAAGCUGAAAAGCUAUGCACAAAGGUAAAACUAAUUGGUGGUCAAGACUUGCAUAUCCUUUCUUUUUUUAUAACUUCAGAGCCAAUAAUGAUGGAAAGUGGUUUGCUUUGGAUAUAUGUUUUAGGUGCUAGAGCUGGAAAGCACCAAUGUGAAGGCCCUAUACAGGAGAGCGCAGGCUUACAUGGAGUUGGCUGAUUUGGACUUGGCUGAGUUUGAUGUCAAGAAGGCCCUUGAAGUCGAUCCCGACAACAGGUUUGUCUUCUUUCAUCUAGUGAGUGAACAUUAUAGAUUGUAAAGUUAAAUCUAAAUGUGAUUUGGUUUUUUUUUUUUAUUAUCAAAAUGAUAGGGAAGUGAAGGUGGAGCAGAGAAGGCUGAAGGAGAAAAUGAAGGAGUUUAACAAAAAGGAGGCCAAGUUUUACGGAAACAUGUUUGCAAAACUCUCUGUAAGUAUCUCUCUAAUCUUACCAGCACAUAUUUGUUGAUUUUAAGCGUAAUUAACCGAACUUUAUUUGGGUGAGAAUGUGCAGAAGUGAAGCAGCAGCAUCGUGGAGAAUGGUUCACUGGCUUUGGAUGUUUUUCUCUUUUCUGUACCUUUGCCUAAUUUCGAUCAAGUUGUGUUUUUUUAGAUAAGACUCCUCAAGACAUUGUUGUUCUUUAUUAAAUGUUAGCGUUUGAUAAUUUAUAAUCGAGAUUCUCGUCAUACCUUGUGUGAAUCGAUUAGAAUUCAUCAAGCAAAUUUUUACAUGUUGUUUCCUAAUUGUUCACAACUUUGGUUGCUCUGUUCAGAGCUUUGCCACGGUCUAUCAAAACUUAUCAAACAUGCUCUUCUACCGAAGUUCAACCAAUUAGGAUGGAAGCACUUCUACUAAACGUCCUACGUUAAUUGAUGUGACCAAUGAAGAAUAAAAACAAACACGAACGGUGCAUAAAAUGAACUUUGCUUUAGGAUAUAUGUUCUUGUAAGAAUACUCAAAAAAGAAUAUACUUGGCUGCUCUAAAUCUUGUCCGUCCAUACGACUUGGAAAAAAUCCUCAGGUACAAUAGGAUAUCCUUCCUAUGCACUAGUCUUUCGUCAGAUAGAUAACAAAUUGUAAAAGGCAAAAAAUAAAAAGAAACAUAGAAAAGAAAAAAGAAACAAGGAAUAUUCCCAGCUAAAUGCUCCACCGUAACGCACUCAAACGCUCACUUUAAAUUCGAUUCUCUCACCUUUUCACUUCUCAUCUAUAUGGCGAUCUUCUCUAAAACCAAACGUGUCACCGACCCACUAGACGAUGAAGCCAAGGCUCGGAUCUUCAGCAACCACAGCAGCAUACUAGAAGACCAAGACUCUCCUGAAAUCUGCGAACUCGAGUUUCUCGAAGACAGAUCACAAACACUCUACGACUCUGACUCCGACUUGUCUGAAAAUUCCGCAACGGAACGUUCCGGUGAAGAAGCUAGUGAGAAGAUCUUAAAGAUGGCCUUGAGCUUCUCCGACUAUGAUCCUUAUCGAAACAUAUUGCUAUCUCAUGUUCUGAAAGCAGUGGAAGCAUAUUCCAGUUUCAGAUCCCGGCGGAAACAUGUUUUCAAAGACAAGGUAGCAUCGUUUCUACGAGAGCUCGGACACAACGCCGCCGUUUGCGUUUCGAAAUGGAACUCAUCAUCUAAACUCACCGCCGGGAGUUACGACUUCAUCGACGUCGUUCACAAACCCCCUGGUGAUCGGACAUCCGUUCGUUACUUUGUUGAUCUAGACUUUGCUUCUGAGUUCGAGAUCGCGAGGCCCACACUCCAAUACGCGCGUGCGUUGCAGUUGCUGCCUCGUGUUUUCGUAGGAAAGGAAGAGAAUCUUAGGACGGUUGUGAGAGAGGCUUGCGACGCGGCGAAGAGGUCGAUGAAGAGCCGUGGUUUGUCUCUCCCGCCGUGGCGGAGAUUCUCUUACUUGCAACACAAGUGGUUUGGUCCGUGCACGAGAAGGGCUGGAUCUGGUUUGGAAGUGGCGCCGUUGAAUAAAGACGCCGUUAGCUGUCGCUCUGUGGGGUUUGAUGACGCCGUCAAUGCACGUCUGAUCAUCAGGACGUGAUCCGCGUCCAUGCAGCAUGUACUAGUAUUAAAUGAAUAGUUAAGUAGGGACUACACUUUUUUUCCAAUGGAUUUUAAGGAGACUAAAAUAUUAAUUAGCAUCUUAAAAAUUAAGGCCAUGAUGUCAAUGUUAACGUUCUACCACUGGGUUAAGUGGCAUUAAUAAUCAUAUGCUUUUCUUUCGAACAACUAAUAAUAAUCACAUGCCAAGAGUUGUGAUAUUUAAUAAUCACAUAACCUAUGAUAUGAAAUUGGACAUGUAAGAAUAUUAGCAAAUAAAUUUGAUUGUAUAAGCAGCGAUUUAUAAUUUGGAUUUAAAACUGCAUAACACCACAUGACCACAGUAUCGGCAACUGAAAGAAGCAUUGAGUUUUUUUUUUGGAAACUACAUGAUUUUAUUGAAUUAUGAUACUAAUAGUUUUAGAUAGAAAGAUUGACAAGUAUGAAAAUUGCAUUAGUGAUGUGAAAAUAUGACUGCUCGUCAAGUUAGCCUAUAUGCAUUUCAUUACAAAUGCAAUUCCUAUGUAUAAUAAGUUGAUUGCCAUUGACAAACUGUAUGUUUAUGUAUCUUACGCUUUUUCAGAGAUUUUGUCGUCUAUUACGAACCAAACAACAAGUCGUUUCCUUUGCCACUACAAAAACUUAUGCUAGCUAAACAAAAAAUAGUUUUGUAAAUGUUUUCCUUUUCCAUGCAAGUCUAAGAAACUAGAAAUUUCUGAUUUUUGCCAUAUUUUGGGUUUUGAAUAUAAGAAAGGAAAGAAAUGGUAGAUGCAUGAACCUUUUGACUUGACUGCAUGAUAUCCGAUAUUACUUUAAAAGUUACCUUAGAGCAUUUUUAAAUUAAGAUUUGGAAUAUUCUGUAAUUGAUACAUCAUACAUGGAUAUCAUUCAGUGACUACACUAUGGCAUGUUAGAUAAUAAUUUUGAAUACAUGAAUACAAAAUAAACUGAUUUAACCAAUACAGAGAUACAUAUUACUCUUGCAUGUCUCAAUACAAAUUAAGAAAUAUAUGACAGUUUUACUAAUUAUAUAAAAAGUGGAAAGAUAGUGCCAUUACUUGCAAAUGUCCAAACAAAACUAGUCAGUAGACACUUGUAAAACAGGUCAAUAAAUAGUAAUUGCUUUCCGUUUCAGCUCUUAAUUACUUUGUUUUUACAUUCUCACGCAAUUUCUUCUUAUUUUCUUAUAUAAACAAAAACCCAAAAGCAACCACCAUCGGUAAUGUUAAACACCUAAUAAAUUACUUUACACAAAAUAUCUAUUAAAUCAUCCUUGUUUCUAAAGAAUCGUAGAUAUGCAGAAUGAGAUGGAAGAGAAAUUUGAAGAUUGGAGGGGCAAAGAGGCAAUCCCUGGCAAGCAUGGUGGAAUUAGAGCUGCUUCCAUCGCUUGUGGUAAAUUUCUAUACCUCAACAAAAACACCCUUAUAAAUUGUACUUUCAUUAUUUAUAAGAGCUUUGGUGUAUGCUGAUGUAGUUGUGGAGAUGAUGGAGAAUAUGGUGUUCUUAGCAUGUUCAACCAACUUCAUCACAUACUUUACAAAAUCAUGGCAUUACUCAUCAGCCAAAGCAUCGAACAUGGUGACCAAUUUCACAGGAACGUCGUUUUUGCUCACUAUCAUUGGUGGUUUUGUUGCUGACUCUUUUCUCACUCGCUUCACCGCUUUCGUCAUAUUUUGUUCCAUUGAACUCCUGGUAACUAGAAAACACUCCAUUGAAUCUUUUAAAAUAAUAAUUUAUACAUAUAUAAAUUUAAAACUAUACUCCUAUAGGGUUUGAUCUUGUUGACCAUCCAAGCACAUACCCCUAAGUUACAACCUCACGGAGAUAACACUCCUUCAACUCUUCAAUCACUGGUUCUAUUCACCGGACUAUAUGCAGUAGCUACAGGUGUUGGAGGUGUCAAAGCCUCUUUGCCUGCUCAUGGAGGCGACCAGCUUGAUAGUCGAAAGCAAGGACUUAUCUCAGGAUUUUUCAGUUGGUACUUCUUCUCUAUCUGCUUUGGAGGCCUCUUGGCCGUUACAAUUAUGGUUUGGACUGAAGAGAACAAAGGAUGGAGCUCCAGCUUCGAUAUCUGCACCGUGAUUUUGGCCUCUGCACUCUUUAUUUUCACCGUGGGAUUUCCUAUGUAUCGGUUCAGGCGUCCAACGGGAAGCCCUUUGACCAGAAUUGUGAACGUGUUUGUUUCAGCCGCAAGAAACCGAAAUAGGUUUGUAACGGAUGCAGAGAUAACGCUGAAUAACUCUACCGACAAAAGCAUUCAUCACAACAAAUUCAAGUAAUGCUAAACACGUAUUUUUUAUUUUUUUUUAUUUGCACUAACAUAAUUAAGUUUUGUUGACUUCUAAAGUGCUAAAACAAAACAAACUAAAUAUGGUUCCUACUUCCCAUAGAAAUGAAUGAAGAAACAAUAAGCUUUCAUAAUUUUGAUUCUGCAUGUAUUUCAACUAAUCUUUUUACCUUUUAAUAAAAAUAUAUUUUCAAUUAAAAUAGUUAAUUAGACUCUCCUAACUAAAUUUGAAAGACGUGGGUAUAAUCAAUAAAAAUGGUUAUUGAUCUUAUUUCAAAAGCCAUAGAUUGGCAUAUAAAAAAAGCCAUAGAUUCUCGUUAAUUAUUGUAUGUAUUAAAGUUCACUUUUAUUUAAUGAUUUAUGAUUUAUAUGAUUCAAAUGCGUUAUAACAAGAUCGGUAUUGGUAUUUGAUUUUCAGGUUUUUAAAUAAAGCGAAGCUCAACAACAAGAUCUCAGCAACCGAAGUUGAAGAAACAAGAACGUUUCUAGCUCUCCUACCAAUUUUUGCGAGCACAAUUGUAAUGAACUGUUGCUUAGCACAACUCUCAACCUACUCCGUACAACAAGGCAUGCUGAUGAACAGAAAACUCUCAAAGUCCUUCGAGGUUCCUCCCGCUUCUCUCAACACUAUUGCUCUCCUAUUUAUGCUCUCUUCUAUAGCUUUCUACGAACUCUUUGGAAAAAGAAUCUCAUCAAGCAACAACGAAAGGUCGUCGUGCUUCAAUUUGAAACGCAUAGGAACAGGCCUAGCUCUUACAUCUGUUGCAAUGGCCAUAGCAGCAAUCGUGGAGGCCAAGAGAAAACACGAGGCGGUUCACAAUAGCAUCAAAAUAUCUGUGUUCUGGUUAGAGUUUCAGUAUGUUUUGCUGAGUUUCUCGGAUGUGUUGACUCUUGGAGGAAUGUUAGAGUUCUUUUAUAGAGAAUCUCCGGCGAGUAUGAAGAGCAUCAGCACGGCGUUGGGGUGGUUUUCCACCGCAUUAGGUUUCUUCCUCAGUACGGUUCUUGUGGAUGUCACUAAAUCGGUCACGGGAUGGCUCGACGGAGAAGAUGUUAACGGCUCCAGGCUCGAGCUGUUUUAUGCGGUCCUGUGUGUUCUUAACACCCUUAAUCUUUUUAAUUAUAUUUUCUGGGCGAAAAGAUAUUAAGCUAAAAAAAGAAAACAAAGUAUGUGCUCGUCUUUUGUCAAAAGUACUCUUUAGUUUUGUUAAAGUCUGACAUAAUCUUUUAGUGAAGAUGCUAAGCAUAAUGUGUGUGUGUGUGGUCUCGUGAUGUAGUGGAAGUCUAAAUCAAGUCACUUGUGUACUUGUUUCUUGUGGUCGUUCGCAAGAUGGUUGAGAUUGCAUUGUAAUAAAGGGACGAAAUAGUAACCAUCCCAUAAAAGUCUUCUUAAUUUGUGAUUCUACCCUAAUUAAGAAAUUUCAAAGGUAACAUUUUUAAGAACGAAAUUUCCCUUUACCUAAGCAGGGUGAGUGGUAACACAUUGAUCAGCGUUUUAUUAACAACUAGGGUUUAACCCGCCCAAAACAAAUGAAAAAGUAAUUGAAAAAUAUCUAAAAUUUUAAGGGAAAUUUAACUGCGCGUAUUGCAGUUGCUGCCUCGUGUUUUUGUUGGAAAGGAGGAAAAUCUGAGGACGAUUGUGAGAGAGUCGUGCGUCGCGGCGAAUUGGUCGUUGAAGAGCCGUGGCUUGUCUCUCCCGCCGUGGCGGAGAUUCUCUUACCUGCAGCACAAGUGGUUCGGUCUGUGCACGAGAAGGGCUGGAUCUAGUUUGGAAGUGACAACGUUGAAUAAAGACGCCGUUAGCUGUCGCUCUGUGGGGUUUGAUGACGCCGUCAAUGCACGUUUGUUCAUCAGGACGUGAUCCGCAUCCAUGCACCGCAUCCAUGCAGCCUGUACAAGUAUUAAAUGAAUAGUUAAGUAGGGACUACACUUUUAUUUUUAAAACACCAACACAUUACAUCAUCGUAUAAUCUCUAACUCUAUUAGAUAUGAUCAACUACCUGUAACAUAUGAGAUAUUGAUGAACAGCUCUACGGAUAAAGAUUCCACGAUGAAACUCUCCUUGAAACACUUGGAUCAACGGACGAUUCUGCAUGUAAGACAUUCUCGAUCGACAUGCUCUCUCCGCAGCAGACAACCACAACGAACGGUUCUGCCUACAGUACUCUGGAACGUCCAAUAAUUGCAAAGUCUAGGAAUCGAACCUCAAACUUGGAUGGAGAAGGCUUUGAACCUUAACCAAUAGGCUAUGGUGCUUCCGCAAAUACUACAAUUUUUCCCAUCGAUUUUAGGGAGACAUCAUGUCCAACCAUUAAGUUUCCUACGGUGGGUAUCUAUACUAUUAUUUGCGAAGUGAAUUUGCUUACUUGUCAUCUUCUCUAUGAUUUUAGUUAAUUUGCUUACUUGUAAUCUUUUCCAUCAUUUUAACAUAAGUCAUUAGUUUAAUUAAUAUUUUUUUAUAUCUAUAUAUUUAUCAUGAUAUUUAAGAUAAUUAAUAAUCAUUAACAUAUUUUAACAAUAAAUAUACUAUUAUUUUAUAAAAAUAUAUUUAAUAUAUAAUUAUCAUGAUAUUAAGGACAUUUAAUUAAUAAAUAUAUAUUAACAAUAUCUACCAAAAAUAUCAUCAUAACUUAUAUCUUAUAUUUAGUUUAUAAUUUUAUUACUAAUAUUAUAGCCAGUUUCUAUUAUUUUUAUUAGAAAUAUUGAUCAAAUACAGAUUACUAUAAAAUUUAUAUAUAAGUAUACUAAUAUAUAUCAAUUAAUCAUUUUCAUUGGUUUAUUCGGUUUGAUCGCUUAAUAUACUGAACCAAAUUUAUACACUGCGGUUUCUUAAAAAUAACAUCCAUUCGGUUUAUUCAGUACUACCAAAUCCAAACUAUUUUUUCUAUUUUCGUUUGGUUCGGUUUUAAAUGGUUAUCUUUUAAAUGGUUCGAUUUUAACGGAUUGAACACUCAUAAACUAUCGUUAUUUUGUUAAUAUUUUACAUUUUUGAUUUUUUUCAUCUUUUCAGUACCACAUGAUUUUUUUUCAGUCCAAAUACAAUAUGUGUUAAUUUUAAAUACAAAUUUCCUAAUUUAUUUAUUAAUAUAGAAAAUAUUUUGAUCCAAAAUCUACAUCACAUAAACAAAACUGUAAAAAAAAAAGAACAUAGUUUAAUACAUUGAUUACCAAUAUGAAUAAUGAAAUUUAUAAUUUAUAAAAUUUAAUUGUUUUGUCUAAUUUAAUUAUAAUUAUUUUAUAAAAAUAAAAUUUAGAAAAAAAAUUGUUAGAUAUUUUAAUACGCACAAGGGGCGGAACAUCAACUAGUUUACACGUAUAAAUAAUAUUUUAAUUUUCUGUUUUAAUUUUUGUCUUCAAAUGAAAUAUUAGUGGGUUAGAAAGUGACAGGGAAAGAAGUCUAAGGUAGAUUUCUAAUAAGCCCGUAAAUCCGAUACUUUAUUUCUUCUCUUUCCACUUUUUUUUUAUAAUUUAAAUUCUAACAAAUACUCCUAUAAAAACCUGUCGUUGGAGGUAAUCUAAGAAGUUAAAAUAUUAAGUAGCAUCUUAAAAUUAAGGCCACGAUGUCAAAGUUAACGUUCUACCACUGGGUUAAUUUGCAUUAAUAAUCGUAUAUUACCUUAACAACUAACUAGUUUAAGAUUUCCGCCUUGCGGAUAAUGAACAUUUGAUAUACAAAUUAUUUUUACAUAUUAUUAUUUGUUUAACAUUUUUACAUAUUGUGAAACAAAUUAAUAAAUAUAUAUAUAAUAAUUAAAAAAACUAUUAAUUGUUACAUAUAUAAUUAAAUUGACACAAAUACAUAAAUUUAUUUAAAAUCAUUUGUGUUAAAUAAAUUUAAAUCAUUUGUGUUACAUAACUUUUUUUAUUUACAAUCAUUUGUGUUAAAUAAAUUUAAAUAAUUAUUUUCUCUAUUAUAUAUGGUAUGUAAUUAAAUUUAAAUAAUAUUAACAUAUAUAUAAUAUUAUUUUAAUAUGACUAUCUAUUAAAUGAAACUUCCUAAUCAUAUGAUUUUAUGAUAAUUUGUAUUUUAUUUUUAAAAGAAUAAACCAUUAAUAACAAAACUUAUAGUGUGUGACCUUCAUGUAUUUUUAAUAAUUUAUAAUCUUUCUUGAAAAUUCAGUGAAAAUUUUGAAAUUAGAAUAUUAAGCUCUCAAUAGUUGUUCAACGAAAAUUUUUAAAUUAAAAUAUUUAUGUAUUUUUAUAUGGAGUAUAGUUUAAUAUAUAUAUUAAUCUGAAUAUCUAUGGUUUUAUGAUCAUUUGUAUCUUAUUAUAACAAAAAAUUUAAACAAUUGAUCACAAUAUUCAGUGUGAAACUUUUAACAGUUUUUCGUAAUUUAUAAUCGUUUUUAAAAAUUCAAAAUAUAACAUAUACAAAAAAAUUAAAUUUUUAUUAUAUGGUUAAUGUGAUUGUUUUUUUUUUUGGAAACUACAUUAUAUUAGAUAGAAAGCUUGACAAGUAUGAAAACUCCAUUAUUGAUGUGAAACUAGGACUUCUCGUCAAGUUAGCUUAUAUGCAAUUUCUUUACAAAUGCAAUUCCUAUGUAUAAUAAUUUGAUUGCCAUUGACAAACUGUAUGUAUGUACAUAGAUAAAAAGCAGGACAAUGGAAAGAUCUUCAAAUGCGUUAUAACAUAAUAAUGAUUCAGUACAAAAUAGAGCUUCAAGACCGUUAUUGGUAUUUGAUUUUCAGGUUUUUAAAUAAAGCGAAGCUCAACAAUAAUAUCUCAGCAACAGAUGUUGAAGAAACAAGAACGUUUCUAGCUCUCCUACCAAUUUUUGCGAGCACAAUUGUAAUGAACUGUUGCUUAGCACAACUAUCAACCUACUCCGUACAACAAGGCAUGUUGAUGAACAAAAAACUCACGCAGUCCUUCGAGGUUCCUCCCGCUUCUCUCAACGCUAUUGCUCUCUUACUUUUGCUCUUUUCUAUAGCUUUCUACGAACUAUUUGGGAAAAGAAUCUCAUCAAGCAAUAACGAAAGGUCAACGAGCUUCAAUUUGAAACGCAUAGGAGCAGGCCUAGCUCUCACCUCUGUUUCAAUGGCGAUAGCAUCCAUCGUGGAGGCCAAGAGAAAACACGAGGCGGUUCACAACAACAUCAAAAUCUCUGUGUUCUGGUUAGAGUUUCUGUAUGUCUUGCUGAGUUUCUCGGAUAUGUUGACUCUUGGAGGAAUGUUAGAGUUCUUCUAUAGAGAAUCUCCGGCGAGUAUGAAGACCAUCAGCACGGCGUUGGGGUGGUUCUCUACCUCAUUAGGUUUCUUCCUAAGUUCGCUUCUUGUGGAUGUCACUAAAGCGGUCACGGGAUGGCUCGACGGAAAAGAUGCUAACGGCUCCAGGCUCGAGCUGUUCUAUGCGGUCCUGUGUGUUCUUAAUACCCUUAAUCUUUUUAAUUAUAUUUUCUGGGCGAAAAGAUAUUAAGCAAAAAAAAGAAGAAACUGUAUGUGCUUGUCUUUGUCAAAAGUAUUCUUUCGUUUUGGUAAAGCUUGGUAUAAUCUCUCAGUUGGAGAUGCUAAGCAUCAUGUGUGUGUGGGUUCUCGUGAUGUAGUUGGAAGUCUAAUUCAAGUCACUUGUGUACUUGUUUCUUGUGGGGUUGGCAAGAUGGUUGAUAUGUCAUUGUAAUAAAGGGACGAAAUAGUAAGGGCAUCCGCAUAGCUAGGACCAAAAAAUUGGUCAUUAGAUUAAUUUAUUGUUUUUGUAAUGUUAAGAGAUUUAGCUAAGGACAAUUAGAAAAAGAAAGAUUAUUGGUAGGACCAAAAUAUUGGUUGGAGAGCUUCAUUGGAGAGAUUUAGGGCGAGGGAUUGAGGGCGACACAUUGGGAUCGACAGAGAGAUGGGAGAGAUGGGACAGAUCGCCGGAAGGUUCUGAAGGACCCUAAGAUUGGUUCACUCGAAUGGAUCAGAUUUGGAUAUGAACUCCGGAUGGAGAACUGAAUGGAUUGAAGGGUCGCACGAAGGUUGCGGAAAGGCCUUCGAUAUUCCCGACUCCAAAUGGUGCUUGAUAUGACUCACAAGACCACCAAGUGAAGGGUCUCUCGUCGUUGCUUGAUAUGACUCACAAGGCCAACGAUUUGAGGAAGUGUUUACUUGGAUAUGACUCACCAAGAAACAAGACAAGUUCUUAAACGAAGAACAAAGAGUUUAACUCAAAAGCUUUUGACAAAAUCGAUUUCUGAUUUAUUAAAAUGAAAGAGUUUCAUACUUAUAGAGUUUUGUAGAUCUAGGAAUUAAAUAGAAAACUAGAUCUAGAUCUAGAUCUAGUCAAUACACGGAAAUAAAGAGAGAANNNNNNNNNNNNNNNNNNNNNNNNNNNNNNNNNNNNNNNNNNNNNNNNNNNNNNNNNNNNNNNNNNNNNNNNNNNNNNNNNNNNNNNNNNNNNNNNNNNNNNNNNNNNNNNNNNNNNNNNNNNNNNNNNNNNNNNNNNNNNNNNNNNNNNUGUUCGGCCCGAUCGAUGGACUGAACCUCAGUUGCGUUGUUCCGGACGUUCUGAUCCUCGUUCUGAUCGUUCUGAUCAGUCUGGUCCAUGGACUGGGGCACAUCAUUCCCUCCUUCUUUAAAAGGAUUUGUCCACAAAUCUGGAUCGUCUACAAGAAAAGGAGAAAGAUCAGACACAUUAAAGCUUGAAGAAAUAUCAUACUUACCUUGCAAAUCAAGCUGAUAGGCAUUGUCAUUGAUCUUUCUAAGGAUCUGAAAUGGACCAUCGACUCGAGGCAUAAGUUUAGACUUUAUUUCUUCUGGAAACCGUUCUUUCCUCAAGUGAACCCAAACAAGAUCACCCUCUUUAAAGAUCACCUCCUUUCUCUUCUUGUUGGCAUAUCUUUUGUACCCUUCGGUUUUGGCUUUAAUGUUUGAACGAACCUGCUCAUGCAGCUUUUUGAUAGUGUCUGCUUUCCUCUUGCCAUCUGUGCUAACUCUUUCACUUAAAGGCAAAGGCAAAAGAUCAAGUGGAGAUAAAGGAUUAAAGCCAUAAACGACUUCAAAAGGUGAGAACUUAGUAGCAGAAUGCAUAGCAUGGUUAUAAGCAAACUCAACAUGAGGCAAACAUUCUUCCCAAUGCUUGAGGUUUUUCUUAACCAAUGAUCUAAGCAAAGCGGACAAAGUUCUAUUCACUACUUCAGUUUGGCCAUCAGUUUGUGGAUGACAAGUCGUAGAGAACAUCAAUCUGGUUCCUAAUUUAGACCACAAAGUUUUCCAAAAAUAGCUAAGGAACUUAGCAUCACGAUCAGAGACAAUGGUCUUAGGCAUUCCAUGCAAUCUAAAAAUUUCCCUAAAGAACAAUUCAGCAACUUGCACAGCAUCAUCAGUUUUAUGACAUGGAAUGAAGUGAGCCAUUUUCGAAAAUCUAUCCACAACCACAAAGAUGGAGUCUCGGCCAGUUUUAGUCCUAGGUAAACCAAGAACAAAAUCCAUAGAAAUAUCUACCCAAGGAUGAGAAGGAAUGGGUAGAGCCGAAUACAAACAGUGAUUAGAUGUCUUGGUUUUGGAUUUCUUGCAGAUCACACAUCGGCUACAAAUCCUCUCAACGUCCUUCAUCAAGCUUGGCCAGUAGAACUGAUCAAAAGCUGUCUUGUAUGUCUUCUUGACUCUAAAGUGUCCCAUAAGACCUCCUCCAUGAGAUUCCCUGAGAAACAACUCCCUCAAAGAACAUUGGGGCACACACAAGCGGUUAUCAAAGAACAAAAAUCCAGAAUUUUGAUAGUAUUUUCCAUAAGCCACUUUGGAACAUUUCUGAAAUAUUUCUUUGAAAUCCGGAUCAGUCACAUACAAAUCUUUGAUAAAUUCAAAACCAAGUAGUUUAGUUUCAAGGGCUGAGAGAAGAGUAUACCUUCGGGACAAAGCAUCAGCCACAACAUUUUCCUUACCUUGCUUGUACUUGAUAACAUAAGGAAAUGUCUCAAUGAACUCAACCCAACGUGCGUGUCUCUUGUUCAGCUUCUGUUGACCCUUAAGAUGUCUCAAGGACUGGUGGUCCGUGUGGAUAACAAACUCCUUAGGCCAAAGAUAGUGUUGCCACGUUUGGAGAGCUCUCACCAAAGCAUAUAGCUCCUGGUCAUAGGUGGGGUAGUUGAGUGUGGCGCCUCCAAGCUUCUCACUGAAGUAAGCAAUGGGUUUCCUAUCCUGCAUUAAGACAGCACCAAUCCCAACUCCGGAAGCAUCACAUUCAAUCUCAAAAGUUUUAGAAAAAUCAGGAAGUACAAGUAAAGGAGCAUGAGUCAACUUCACUUUUAACAUCUGAAAAGCUUUUUCUUGGGCUUGUUCCCAUUUGAAACCGACGUUCUUCUUGAUCACUUCAGUCAGCGGAGCAGCAAUGGAACUGAAGUCCGGAACAAACCGUCUAUAGAAACCGGCCAGACCAUGAAAGCUUCUUACCUCGCCCACGGUCGAAGGACUCGGCCAGUCUCGGAUAGCUUUGAUUUUCUCCUCGUCCACUCUAAGUCCAUCAGCACCUACAACAAAACCUAAGAACACCACGUGAUCUGUUCCAAAAGAGCAUUUACCAAGAUUGGCAAAGAGUUUUUCUUUUCUAAGAACUUCAAGAACAGAUUUUAGAUGCAUCUUAUGAUCUUCAAGGUUUUUGCUAUAGACAAGAAUGUCAUCAAAGUAGACAACAACAAAAUGACCUAUGAAUGAUCUCAAGACAUGAUUCAUCAAACGCAUGAAAGUGCUAGGUGCAUUAGUAAGACCAAAUGGCAUAACAAGCCAUUCAUACAAUCCUAACUUGGUUUUAAAUGCGGUUUUCCACUCAUCACCUUCCUUCAUCCUAAUCUGGUGAUAGCCACUUUUCAAAUCAAUUUUAGAAAAGACACAUGAUCCAUGCAACUCAUCAAGCAUGUCGUCUAGCCUAGGGAUGGGAUGCCUAUACUUUACCGUGAUGUUGUUGAUGGCACGGCAGUCCACACACAUGCGCCAAGAACCAUCCUUUUUGGGCACGAGAAGGACAGGAACGGCACAAGGACUGAGGCUUUCCCGGAUGUAGCCUUUCUCAAGAAGGUCACCAAUCUGUUUCUGAAGUUCCUUGGUCUCCACCGGAUUGGUACGGUAAGCUGGCCGGUUUGGUAGAGACGCGCCAGGAACAAGGUCGAUCUGAUGCUCAAUGCCUCGUACUGGUGGCAAUCCCUUAGGAUUCUCAUCUGGAAAAACAUCAGAAUACUUCUGCAAAACAUCUAAAAGUUCACUCAGAAUCUCCGGUGCAAGGUCAGAAGAAGCCAUAAGAGAUUCUUUGUACACAAGUAAAAGAAAUGGCUUUUGAGAGUGAAGAGAUCUCUUGACCUGACUUUGUUUGAUAUAGAAAUUGGAGUUCCGUUGGGAUGAUUCAAGUUCAUCUGGCUUGGAAUCCUUGUCACAGUUCCUCUUGAGCUGGAUCUGAUCUUGAUGAACCUCCAGAGGUGUCAAAGGAACAAGCGUGAUCUUCUUCCCUUUAUGAUCAAAGGAGUGUCGGUUGGUGAAGCCAUCAUGCACAGCUCUCUUAUCAAAUUGCCAUGGCCGGCCCAAGAGAAUAUGGCAUGCGUCCGUAGGAAGAACGUUGCAAACGACCUCGUCCUCAUAUCGGCCAAUGGUAAUAGGGACAGUGACUUGCUCUUUCACAUACUGUUCUCCAGCCUCGUUUAGCCAUUCCAACCUGAAAGGACGAGAGAGAGGCCGAGUAGCAAGUCCUAGUUUCCUGACAAGAGUGUCACUAGCAACAUUAGUACAACUCCCUCCAUCAAUAAUCAAAGAGCAAACCUUUUCAGAAACUAAACAUCGAGAAUGAAAGAGAUUCUCCCUGGCAUGCGUCCAUAGGAAGAACGUUGCAAACGACCUCGUCCUCAUAUCGGCCAAUGGUAAUAGGGACAGUGACUUGCUCUUUCACAUACUGUUCUCCAGCCUCGUUUAGCCAUUCCAACCUGAAAGGACGAGAGAGAGGCCGAGUAGCAAGUCCUAGUUUCCUGACAAGAGUGUCACUAGCAACAUUAGUACAACUCCCUCCAUCAAUAAUCAAAGAGCAAACCUUUUCAGAAACUAAACAUCGAGAAUGAAAGAGAUUCUCCCUUUGUUCCUUUUCAUUGUUUUUGGGUUGGACACUUAGAGUUCUUCUUGUGACAAGUAGAGUACCAUGAGCUGGAUAGUCGAAGCAAUGCUCCUCAUCAUAGAUCAGGUCGGACUCAUCAUCAAAGGCUGGGAUAGAACCAUCGACCAAGCGGCCGUCCGUUUCAUCGAAAAUAGACUCGACCAUGCCUUUCCUAGCAACGAGUAGUGGCCCGUGAUGCGGAUAUCCAAAGGACUCGUCCUCUUCAUCAAAGAUCGGACCAAGAUCUUCUUUGUUCUCCUGCUCAUCCUCAGAUUCAACUUCUCCAUUCUCCAUGAGAAUCAUCACUCGUUGGUUGGGACAGUUUUUGGCAAAGUGUCCUAGACCUUGACAUUUGAAGCACCUAAUGUCUCUUGCUCGGCCAGAAGCAUCAACUGCCUUUCCUUUGUCAUCACGAGCAAGGACAUCAGUUUUAAAAGCAUUAUGUGUUGUCGAAGAAGACUUACCGUUGUCUUGGUAGCUUGGCUUAGUAGCAAAAGCCGGUUUGGGAGAGUAGGUCGGUUUAGAGGUAAUGGCCGACUUUGAGAAACUCUUCCUCUUAACUUGUUGUUCAAUCAAGAUGGCCUUGUGUAGCAUCUGUUCCACACUACCAUACUCUUGAAGCUCCAUGCGGUCUUGGAUGUCUCGGUUAAGGCCAGAGAGGAACCUAGCCAUAGUGGCGUCCAUGGGCUCGUCUACAUCAGCCUUGAUCAUCAAAGUUUCCAUCUCCUGGUGGUAGUCUUCCACGGACUUAGUGCCUUGAAGCAAGCGUCUGAGUUUCUGGUGGAGGUCUCGGUGAUAAUGAGCAGGAACAAAUCGUCUCCUCAUCAGCAUGGAAAACUCAUCCCAUGUCUCAAUCGGUCUCUCACCUGUUCUCCUCCUGUGGGUCACAACUUGAUCAUACCAAUUAAUAGCAUAGCCAGAGAAUUCAGUAACAGCUAGUCUAACUUUCUUAAGUUCAGAAAAGUUUUGACAAUCAAAGACAUGUUCAAUUUUUCUUUCCCAUUCAAGAAAAACAUCAGGAUCAUUUUUACCCUCAAAAGGUGGAAUUUUUAGUUUCAGUCCACUUAAGCUAUCAUUAGUACGUUCAUUUCUAGCAAAAGGAUUGACAUCACCUGGAUCUCGGGUUCUAGGACCUCUUCUUGGACGGUAUGCUGAUCUGGCCUCGUCCUCUUGAUCAAACAAGACAAGUUCUUAAACGAAGAACAAAGAGUUUAACUCAAACUUUAGACAAAAUCGAUUUCUGAUUUAUUAAAAUGAAAGAGUUUCAUACUUAUAGAGUUUUGUAGAUCUAGGAAUUAAAUAGAAAACUAGAUCUAGAUCUAGAUCUAGUCAAUACACGGAAAUAAAGAGAGAAAGCUAGUCAAAGUGACCGUUCGGCUUCUGUCCAGAUGCAUCCGAACUGGCUAAGUCCAAAGCGGUAAGGAUCAGCACAUAUGCGGGACGAUCAGCAAGGGCCGCGGGACGUUCUGAUCGGACAAGUUGCGUUCCAACAAAGCCCAAGUCUUCUGAUAGCUUGAGGAUCCUUGCCUUAGAGAAAUUUCCAAAGGAAAAUUCCAUGAUCGGAUCGAACAAGGUAGAGAGAUCAUCAACACGGUCAUUGGUACAUGCGGUACGAGCCAAUCGAGCCAAAAGAGAGAAGUCUCGAUCAUUUUGUGAAACCUCAUGAUCCAAGUCAAGUCUGGCAUGAUCAUUCUCAAGUCUGGCAUGAUCUUUCUCAAGUCUGGCAUGAUCCAAGUCAAGUCUGGCAUGUUCCUUGUCAAGUCUGGCAUGUUCCUUGUCAAGUUUGGCAUGAUCAAAGUCAAGUCUGGCUCGGCUGUUGGCUUUGGCUUGUCGAGAUGGCUGGGAAGGUCGCGUACUGGUUCGGUCAGAUUGGUCUUCAGGACGUGGACUUGGUCGAAGCUUCAUUCCGGAUGUAAGUGGAUCGAGACGGUACACAGCCCGAUUGGUCUGUCUGAUCUGAUCGGAAGGAUGAACCUCAACUGGGACGUCUGGAGCGUUCUGAUCAGUCUGGUCCAUGGACUGGGGCACAUCAGGUUCGACGGAGUCCGCGGUCGAGAGCUCGGUGGAGGGAAACCGUCGAGAGAGAUGGGAGACGAUGCGAAUGAUUUCGUUGAGAGAGAUGGAAGACUUUCCCAACACCGAACACUCCUUCCCCUCUCUCUGUGACACGUGCAGCUAAGGACACAAACUUAAAACUUUUUAAUUAACAUACCUGAGCUAACGUUUUCUGUAUUAUUGAUUUAAAUUGAUUUAAAUUAGUUACCUAUUAUGCUAAGGACGCGCUAACAACCGCGCGAUACAGAUGCCCUAACUAUCCCAUUUAAAGCUUCUUAAUUUAUGAUUCUACCCUACUUGAGAAAUUUCAUAAGUAACAUUUUUAAGAACGAAAUUUCCCUGCUUAGGGUAGCACAACAAUGGUCAGCAACAAUUGAUUUCUACCGUAGUAAUGGCUGUUGACGCUAUUAAAUAUUGACAUGUUAAGUACUACUAUAUAAGUGUUGAAGUGUUGAGUGGUUGUGUAAUAUGAAGAGUUGGAUCCUAAUAAAGCUGCAAACCGAUACUUAAUAAAUUCUUAAAUUCAUACUUUCAUUACACAAUGGUUCCAAAUUUUUGAUUAUGUGAAGACACCUGGACUCUCUUUUUGCCUUUUUGUUAUUGCUACUUGUUAGAUGUAUGAGGGAGGGGCCAAGGAAAAAGUUCUUUAAAGUAUGAAUGGAAUUGUCACGUAAUUAGUAAAGCUUGAAACUGAAAACACAAAAAAAAAAAAAAUUAUGUAAGGAAUCAUAAAUACUUUAUAGGACAAUCUCUGUUUAUAUGGUUUGGUAGUUAUCAUGACACGUGACAUCUCCUUUUUCUUUGUGCACCAACAAAGGGACAUUAAAAAGUGGACAACGUUUGAGAUACAACUAUUAAACAGGUAAAAGGCAACAUAAACAGUUCCAAACAACUGAAACUGCUUAAAACCUGCACCAAAAACCAACCAAUAACUCUUAUACAACCAAAAUGGAUCCCAACUACCCAAGCUAACCAGAGGCUAAGGAUUUCUCAAAAUCAAAGAACUCUCCUAACCACAAAGGAGCACCACGAGCGACAUAAGAUUGUCCAAACACAUGAUGAGUAGCACUUUCAGCAAUGAAGAAGGCUACACUGUUAGCUGCUUGUAGCUCAAAAACAAAUUUCCACUCCUUAAUCCUAUCUAACCUGGCCAGCAAAACAAACGACUGAUGAUAGAAUACUGGCCAUCUUCUUGGAUUGUUCAACAUAUCCACCACAGAUGAAUCAGACAUAGCGAAAAUAACAUGGGACUGAUGAUGAGAAGACAUGCUUUCAAAUGCCCAUAACAGAACCUCAAACUUAGCCUGAUCCACAUUCUCCAACUGAGUAAAAAGUCUCCUACUAUGAAGUACGACCAUACCCCCAAAGGGACAUCUUCUAUUCAACGUAAUUAACAAAGCAUGAAACUGAAAACACAACUUUUGUUUUUGUUAUGUAAAAUAUAUGUUGUCGGUCAGAUGGUUUUUAUACAAAAAGUAUCUUUUGACAUAAGAGCUAAGAGAUACCAGUUGGAAACUUUAUUCAGGUCUCUUGGAAUGGGAAACCAGGAUCACCUUGUAGCCAGAUGUUGUCUUGUACAGGAUCCUGCAGCAAUGCAGCAAGUUUUAAAGAUCAGUGUGGUGUUCAGCCUCGAAUAAAAAAGAAUUUAAAGAAAAGAAGAGAUUUACAUGGUUGCGUUCGACGAUACAGCAAUCAUCAGUCGGAGAAACUUGGCAGCUUGGGACAUCUUUGGAUUCCUUUUCUUUUCCAGGUCUUGCAACCACAACUCUGGGCGUUCUUGGUUUCCUCACAACACGAUCGAAGACGUCCUGACACAUUUGCUUCUUUUCUAUCUCACGACAUGUCCUCUCAUGCUUCGCUAAGUCUCUCCGACUGAAAAAAUCCUGCCUUUUGCAAAUGGAGCAUGCAUUUUUCUUUGCUUGUGCUUGUGAGGAUUUGCUGAGAUAUACAUACAAAGAAAGAGAGUUAGUAAAGAAGACACAAAAAACAGUAAGAGAUUCUCGAACAAACAAAGCUUACCUUAGGGGACAGAAACUUUUAGCCCUUUUGAUUCGAACAAGAAAUUUGUUGUGAGUGUCCUUUUCGAUUUUCCAUUCCUUGGACAGGUUGAUCAGUAUAUCUUCACUCUUCUGAAAAGAAGAAGACAAGGUAUAAGCGUAAUCUGAACAAAUCAAUGUAAUAAACAUGGAAGCUCCAAAAAUAGUGCUUACUUUGGUGAGAGGAGUACAUUUUGAACUCAUAACAUUGAGAGUGUUGAAGUAAGCCUGUUCUGCAUCCUUCUUCGUACACUGCAAGCCAUUAAAGUGGAGUUGUGAGCUUCUGAAGAUAAUCGCUUAUAACGUUGAAAUAAAUUAUUAUCAACGACAGAAGGUCGUACUAAUUGCAGACAAUUCCAAUGAUAUAUUGACCUCAUGAUUUAAGAUAAUCACGUAUAACACGGGGGAAAAAAACAGAAAGAAAACUUACCCUUUUAACAGCAGCCAUCAGUACCUUGUAAACCUGCUCACUCCUGAAGAAAACACAAAAAGAGUUUAAAACUUGCUCAAAAGGUUAAAACAAAAAACGAUUAUAAUACCUUUUCUUUCUUUCUCGUUCUUCAGAAGUUUCUGAAGUCUUCUCUUCCACUAACGCAGACAUUAAAUCAUAAAGUGGGUUUGGAUCUGUAUCCUCGUUCUUGGGCUUCUUCUCAUUCUCAAGUUUGGAGGAUACAUCUUCAGAGAUGCCAAGUUCAGAUCUGAGAUCUACGAGGAUCUGCUUAACUUGUGGCUCUGAUGACGUACCAUAUUUUUGAAAGACACUGUAUACGGCCAAAUAUACCUCUCUUUCUUGAUAAUCACCUGACCAAACAGAACAAACACAUGAUGUGAUGUUAGAAUUUACAAGAAAAUCUUCUUAAAGCAUAUUCGUAAGGAAAAGGACACACACCGAGAACUUCAUCGAGAUCCUUGAUGACCUUGUUAUCAUCAUUCACUUCAGGAACUGUCUUCCAGGAAAGUAACUCCAGUUCGAUCUCAAGGGUCGCGUUUGGAGGAACCGCAGUUUCACCACCAGAAGCUGGCUUGCCCUUCUCCCCAAACCCAUCUGUCAAAAUAAGAAGCAAGUUUGAGUGAGAGAUGAUUUGCACACCGUCAACACAAUCACUGAAAAAACAUAAUCGAAGCAAAAUUGUUUUACAUUGUGGUUUAACAGUCAGAAGAAUCUUCUCUGCCUUCUUCAUGGUUUUCACAGCCUUAGCAAAUGCAGGACAGAAGUAACCUAUUAAUGACGUCGACCACAAAGAUUGUCAGGGACAGAACAUACUAUCUUUACAUCCCCAUGAUUUGUCAGAAGAAACAGAGCACUAACCGUCUUUAACAGUGAACUCAACACCAUCAGAUUUCCCAACAACCGUACCAUCCUCGAGCUUAGCCUCAUACUUAACUGAACAAACAAAUACACAGGAGAAUACCGUUAGGGAUAUCAAAACACAGACCAAUCUCUAAAGUAAUUCACAAAGAAACUGGACACACACCGAGAACUUCAUCGAGAUCCUUUGGCAUUUCCCACUUCUCCCCCGCAGCAACAAUCUUCUUAAACACACCACCAUCUUUGCAUAUGUCCUUGACACUAGACCAAGAAAGCAACUCCGCCCCGUCGUUGGGACGCUCACAACCUUCCCCUUGUUUCAAGAUUUUCUUGAUGACCUUGUUACCAUCAGUCACCUCAGAAACUGUCUUCCAGGAAAUUAACUCCAGCUCGAUCUCAAGCGUCGCAUUUGGAGGAAGUGCUCCUUCACCCCCAAAGGCUGGCUUACCCUUCUCCCCGAAACCAUCUGUCACAUUCAGAAGCAAGUUGGAAUCAGAGAUGAUUUGCGCACCGUCACCACAAUCACUAAGAAAAAAAUAACACAAUCGAAGGAAAAUUGUCUUACAUUGUGGUUUGACUGUCAGAAGAACCUUCUCUGCCUUCUUCAUGGUUUUCACAGCCUUAGAAAGUGCAGGGCAGAAGUAACCUAUUAAUGACAUAGACCACAGAGAUUGUCAGAGACAGAACAUACUAUCUUACAUCUCCAUCAUUUGUCUGAAGAAAUCAUAGCACUAACCGUCUUUAAGUGAACUCAACACCAUCAGAUUUUCCAACAACCGUACCAUCCUCAAGCUUAGCCUCAUACUUAACUGAACAAACAAAUACACAGGAAAACACCAUUAGAGAAGAUCGAAACAAACUCACACAAACUAUAAAGCAUCUUCGUAAGAAAGAAAGUGGACACACACCAAGAACUUCAUCGAGAUCCUUUGGAGUUUCCCACUUCUCCCCCGCAGCAACAAUCUUCUUUAAAACGCCUCCAUCUUUGCAUAUGUCCUUGACACUAGACCAAGAAAGCAACUCCACAUCAAACUGAAGCGUGGCAUUAGCAGGGAUGGUCGGUGGCGAACCAGAUUCACCAUAAGCCAGCUCCGAAGGGAUGGUGAAUACAGCGUUUUCGCCUUUCUUCAUAGUCUUAAUACUAAUAUCCCAUCCUUUAAUAGCCUGACCUGCAACACACAUUGCCAAUACAAUAACAACAAUCUCAACUCAAUUCACAUAGUCUCUGCCAAAUUUAACCUAAUGAGUAGCACACUGAUACUAUCAUACUAGAAUGUAACUAUAAUCUCAAAUCCAAGAUACAGAGAUUAAUAUGCUAAGCUUAACGAUAAUAAUCAAAGAGUUCAGUGACCUUGUCCGAGGGUGAAUUUGAAAGGCGUUCCUCUGUCACGGCUGGAAUCGAACUUGGUCCCAUCGAGCAAAGUACCAGUGUAGUGCACUGCAGAAGAGAUCGAUCAAGUUCAAUUUCGUCAAAUCGAAAGAAUACCAGAAUCGAAUCGAUGUUACCUUCAACUUCAUCGCCGUUCUCAGGAGUCUCGAAUCCUUCGCCUUCCUUGACGAGUUUCUUCUUCAAACCUUGCUGGAUCUCCUUCUCCUCACCGGGUUUGAGGAAGGAGGCGUCGUCACCGAAAUCCAUUUCGUCGUCGUCGUUCAUUCCACCGACCGGAGGCAUCUCGAAAUCUUCUAUUUGAGAAGAUGAUUAAUCUCUUAAUUUCUGAUUAAAAUCAACGCCACUCCUUUUACACUAAAAGCUGAGAGAGUGUAACAAACUAUUAAACGUCUUAAGACUCUUAACAGAAUAUUAAACCGGUCGGUUUAGCAGACUACACCGACUAAUCUAUUUACAUACUCUUCCUUCAUCUCGAUACAAAAGCACGAAACUAGCGUCAAGUAAACGAAUCGCAAAGAGAACAGUUUGCGAUUUAUGUAUAACUAGUGUUGUUGCCUGUGCUUACGCAAGAAACUAUUUUUUUACGAAUAAAAUUAGACGAUUCUCUCAAAUAAACAUUUUUAAAUUUUUAUCACAAAAACGGUUUUUAAAAAUGAAAAUGACUAAAAUAACUUUUUUUUUUAAUUUUCCAUAUUUAUUUUUUUAUUUUUCUAACUUUGAAACAAUAUUCCCAAAACCAACGCCUUAACUCUAAAUCAUAUGUUUAAAUUAGUUAAACCUAUGAUAAAAAUAUUAUUUUAUCCUUUAAUAAAACUUAUUUUGGUCAUUUCCUACAUUGAAUGCUAUUUUUGUGACAAAAACUUUAAAAAAAAAAUUAUCAUAGGGAGUUUCUCAAUAAAAUUAGCUAUAUACAUAUAAUUAACAUGUGUAAAAGUUAGCCAAACACAAAUAAAAGGUAACAUAAAAGCAUUAAUACAUUUAUCACUGAUUAACCAAAGACACAAAAAUCAUAUUUUUCUUUUCAUAAAAAUUAAGUUAGAUCUGUAAAAAAGUUAAGAAUGUAAAAUAAUUUGAGUAGUCAAAAUUACUUACAUGUAAGUUUUAAAAUAUGUGAUUUUUAAAUCAAAAUGAUACAUUAUACAUCAUCAAUAAAUGCAAGGACUUUGUAAUUGAUGUAUCAUCAAAGGUAAACUCACAGGAUAGUCUGAAGUAAGUUUAGAAACUGACAAUAAGGACUUUGUAAUUGAUGGACAAACCAAGACAUCCUCAAGAGGUAAAGUAACUUGCGUUGUUUGCAAAGCUACGGACCCAACAUGAGUGAUAGGGAGGAAGUCUCCAUUACCGACGAUAACUUGAUCAUUACCAAGGUAGGGAGCAGAGGAGGUGAGCUGAUUUGGAUCGUUGGUGAUGUGAGCUGAUGCAGCUGAAUCUGGAUACCACUCAGCACCUGACUGUCGUUCUUGAUCAGACAGCCGCAUUGUUGUAAGAGCAUUGUGAAUUGUAUCUGGACUGUCAUAGUCCUGAUCAAACCGAUUGUAACAGCAAGCGACGGAGUGACCAUAACGACCACAUAUCUGACAGGUUGGUCUUGUUCCAGAAGAUCCAGUGAACUGUUGACUGAAGCCUCGACCAUGAGUGGAGUAGUUGCCACAUCCUCUGUAGCCUCCCCUGUUGCUAUUACCUCCACGACCAAGUGAAGAAUAACCACGUCCAGCAUGAAAGGCAAGGUGAGGGCUUGGUUCUGGCUGAUUGUUGAGAACCUUCACCUUGUCAUCAAAAGUUAUGAGCUUGAACACAGCAUCCUCAAAACUCAUCUCAUUAACAGAAUUCAUGGAAUGCUCAAUCACAGUACAUAUAGAUUCAUACUCCUUUCCAAGACCAGCUAACGCACCAUAUAUCAUUUCUUGUUCAGACAAAGCACAGUCUAUUGAGUCUAACUGAUCACAAACGCCUUUCACAUCACCUAGAUACUCAGUCAUAGACUUCUUUCCUUUCGACAUACCUUGAACUGCGUUGUAGAUCCAGCUUUCUCGUUGCUGACACUCGAUAGUAUUUCUUUCCCAGAGUGAACCAUACCUCUUGAGCGGAGUGUAGUCCAUAGACAGAUCUCAGAGCCUCUUCAGUAAGCGAACCAAACAACCACGCCAUGACUAGUUGAUCUUUCCGAACCCACUUCACAAACUCAGGGUUGGCUUGCUCUGUAGCUUCUUCACCGUUUCCAACUGUGAUGGUAGGAGCUGGACGACUUGAGCUGCCAUUAACGAACCCCAGAAGUGACUGACUUGACAAGAAAGAUUCAAACUGAGUUUUCCACAUAAGAUAGUUUUUGGAAGAAAGUUUGAGAGUAACACACUGAAAUAUACUCAGAGAGGGUGUUGUUGAAAUCGUUUCAGUAUCCUCCAUGGCUCUGAUACCAUGUAGAACAGAGAAGAAAGUUUAAUGAAGAAGAUAACUUUGAACUUUUCUAUUAUUCAACUUGCGGCCAAAUGUUACAUCAUGUUCUCCUUUUAUACACAAACACAAUUUAACCUAGUUCCUUUGUCAGCACAUGACAGCACACUCCGUUAGGCAACCAAAUAUGUUAGCCGUCUUGAUCUCGUGAGCUGUCAGUCCCGUACACAAGGCUUGCUUUUGCUUUGAACAUUGAAGUUUUGACCGUUAAAGGUGAUUCAAUGGAAUUCGAACUCUGCUCUUCAGUAUGGGCCUUACUCCCCUGAGUUUUGUGGCCCACACUGUUAAUAACACAUACAUCUUCGGAUCAAAUGUUUAUGCCAACAUUGAUUAUCUUGUAAGCUUUAUGUUAGUCUAGUCUUGUAAACCAGGUUAAACUAUGUUGGUCUAGUCUUGUAAGCUCUAUGGUAACUAUUCUAACACCAAGUGUGUGCGCCAUCCUAGCAAUUCUUUUGUCCGUCAGCCUUCAAGGAAUAUAGGCUUCUCAUUUGAUAGAUAAACCUUCAAAUAUAGGUCUGUCUCCCUUAAAGUGGAGAUCUCUACUCUAGUCCUAGAAGAGAAAAGAGAACUAAAUCAUACAAGUUAAUUGUCUGAAUUAUGAAAAGCUUGAAACUGAGAAAAGAGCUCUAAUAAUUCAAAAGGAAUUCAUGAUGAAGAUAACCAGUAAAUAUAUACAAAUUACGAAAUUCCUAAAUACAAAGGUUUGCGUGUAGCUCGAUUUGUGUCAAACUUGGAACGUAAUUCAGAAAAAAUGGAAUAUACUCGAUUCCAAGGGCCACUUCCCUAACUUCAUUGUCCUCCCCGACGAUGUAUUCCACGUGUUCGUUUUUUCCUACCACGAAUGCACUAUACACUAGGACUUUCUUCUCGACAUCCACCAAGAAACUUAUGCAAUGAUAAGUAUCAAGCCCAGGCUUUAAAUCGACUGCUAAGACCUUGAUCCACGACACCACUUUAGUCUCACCAAUCUUAUUUGUCACCCAAAUCUCUGUCUUCGAUGAAAUUUUGUGUUGUAAUAACACGGAAAGAUUCUCUUCUCCAACAACAGAUAGAGACAUUGUUUGAUAGCUAGGAUGCUGAUAGGGAAGACUAAGACGUCCAAAUGUUUCAGUUGUAUAGUCAAAACUGACUAAGAAUAUGCCGAGCUGUUUCUCUUUUUCAUCUGAUGCAAACCAAUAAGUCUUUCCCUUCAAAGACACGUUACUAAAGAACUCAAACUUGCAGUCCAAAGUGACAUCGAGAGUCCUCCAUGAAUUAGAGCUAACAUCGUAGAUAUCGAAUUCUUGGUUUUUGCCACAACCCGUGUGGCUCAAUAUUUUGUAGCUAAUAUCGUUGGAUUUUUUGUUUUUGUAGGAUCCAAGAGAAUAGGUGUGGCUUAGCGUGGAAGGAUAUCUGGGUUGGAUGCUCUUGGUUUCACCAGUACACGGGUUCCAUACCACAAACCUAGCAUCUUCAUUAGACAUGUUAGAGAAACCAAACACAUCGUUAACGCAGACGCAUAACAAUAAGCCGUCAGUGUGACAGUAUUCAGAGAUCAUGCGUUCAUCUAAACUUGAAUGAGGAUAGAUCAGGUCAAUUUUUUCUGUGACCUCUACAGGUGAAGAUCUAGGGAGGUUGAUGCUCACCGAGUACACCCCAUUCGCAUUCAACAUGAGACUCAGAGACUGCUUUGCAGCUUUUUCCAAGUGUUUUAUUGUGAAUCUCCUAUUGUUGAUUAAAUGGUUCCAUCGUUUGCAAGUAGAUUGUAACCGUUUCAGAGAUGUAGCCUCAAUGCGACAUAGUAUCGCCUCUAACAAAUCAUCUGGUAGAUCAGACAUCAUCAUUCUGUUGCGUGUCCUCUUCUUGGUGUAACACAAUCCGUAUUUUUUGUCAACCGUAUUCUCCAGUGUCCUUAGUUUUGGGAAGCAUUGUUCUAGUAUUGGGAAGCCAGGAUCUCCUUCUCUCUUUAAGAACCUCUUCCUUUUUUCCUUUUUGGUUCUAUUAUCCAAUUUCCUAUUUGAUUUUCUUAUUUUUUAACUUUUUCCAUUUAAAAUUAUUAUAUAACUAAAGUAAGGCCAACUUAGUUUCCUUAUCAAAACGAAAAUUUCAAGAAAGAAAAAAGGAAAAAAAAAACUCAUGGCAUUAAUUUAGCACACAAGCUGUUAGACCAAUGUUAUCUGUAGAAGAUUUUCUAACCGGCAUUCUGGCUUUGCCCGUCGUGUACACCGUUUCAGAGAUGUAGCCUCAAUGCGACAUAGUAUCGCCUCUAACAAAUCAUCUGGUAGAUCAGACAUCAUCAUUCUGUUGCGUGUCCUCUUCUUGGUGUAACACAAUCCGUAUUUUUUGUCAACCGUAUUCUCCAGUGUCCUUAGUUUUGGGAAGCAUUGUUCUAGUAUUGGGAAGCCAGGAUCUCCUUCAAGCCAUAUGUUAUCUUGUAUCUGAAUCUGCAAUAAGUUUAGAGAUCAGUGGGUCAGUUUUAAUGUAGAGGAAUGAGAAACUUUUAUAACAAGAAAAAAACGGGAUGAAUAAGAGAUUUACAGUUCUGCGUUCAACCCAACAGCACUCAUCAAUCGCACCGCACUCCUGAGAAACUUGCCCAUAGCCUAGGACAGCUUUGGAUUCUUUAUCCCCACAUCGUGAAAUUUUAACGCUGGAUGUUACUUCUGACAUUAUCAAUUUGUGAGUUUUGGUGGCUAUGGGUGUUGUUUAGGGUUUUCGAAUAUAGACGAACAGAUUAUGUUUCUUUUUUUUUAACAGAUUAUGUUUCUUGAGUUAUAUAUAUCUGUUUAAGAACCUCUUCAUUUUUUCCUAUUUGAUUCUAUUAUCCAAUUUCCUAUUUGAUUUUCUUAUUUUUUUAACUUUUUCCAUUUAAAAUUAUUAUAUAACCAAAGUAAGCCCAACUUAGUUUCCUUAUCAAAACAAAAAUUUUAAGAAAGAAAAAAGGAAAAAAAAAAACUCAUGGCAUUAAUUUAGCACACAAGCUGUUAGACCAAUGUUAUACACGGUAGAAGGUUUUCUAACCGGCAUUCUGGCUUUUUGCCUGUCGUGUAGUAGCAAAAUUAAUCAUUGCAUUACAAUCAAAAUCUAAAACAUGUUUUCUAAAUUUGUAAUAUGUUUUGGUACCUAAAACAUAUGUUCAUGGGUUUUAUCAGAGUACCUACCUACACAAUAUAAUCUUUGGAACUACCAAUAUCAGAGAAUCUCAGUCUCUAAAAUAAAAUUUAUUUCUUAAAAUCAGAGAAUUCAACUAAAAUAACUGUACAAAUAGGUAGGAAACUCUCAAUUUGGCAAAAUUAUUUUAAAAAUCCAAACAUGAUGCUCACCGAGUACACCCCAUUCGCAUUCAACAUGAGACUCAGAGACUGCUUUGCAGCUUUUUCCAAGUGUUUUAUUGUGAAUCUCCUAUUGUUGAUUAAAUGGUUCCAUCGUUUGCAAGUAGAUUGUAACCGUUUCAGAGAUGUAGCCUCAAUGCGACAUAGUAUCGCCUCUAACAAAUCAUCUGGUAGAUCAGACAUCAUCAUUCUGUUGCGUGUCCUCUUCUUGGUGUAACACAAUCCGUAUUUUUUGUCAACCGUAUUCUCCAGUGUCCUUAGUUUUGGGAAGCAUUGUUCUAGUAUUGGGAAGCCAGGAUCUCCUUCAAGCCAUAUGUUAUCUUGUAUCUGAAUCUGCAAUAAGUUUAGAGAUCAGUGGGUCAGUUUUAAUGUAGAGGAAUGAGAAACUUUUAUAACAAGAAAAAAACGGGAUGAAUAAGAGAUUUACAGUUCUGCGUUCAACCCAACAGCACUCAUCAAUCGCACCGCACUCCUGAGAAACUUGCCCAUAGCCUAGGACAGCUUUGGAUUCUUUAUCCCCACAUCGUGAAAUUUUAACGCUGGAUGUUACUUCUGACAUUAUCAAUUUGUGAGUUUUGGUGGCUAUGGGUGUUGUUUAGGGUUUUCGAAUAUAGACGAACAGAUUAUGUUUCUUUUUUUUUAACAGAUUAUGUUUCUUGAGUUAUAUAUAUCUGUUUAAGAACCUCUUCAUUUUUUCCUAUUUGAUUCUAUUAUCCAAUUUCCUAUUUGAUUUUCUUAUUUUUUUAACUUUUUCCAUUUAAAAUUAUUAUAUAACCAAAGUAAGCCCAACUUAGUUUCCUUAUCAAAACAAAAAUUUUAAGAAAGAAAAAAGGAAAAAAAAAAACUCAUGGCAUUAAUUUAGCACACAAGCUGUUAGACCAAUGUUAUACACGGUAGAAGGUUUUCUAACCGGCAUUCUGGCUUUUUGCCUGUCGUGUAGUAGCAAAAUUAAUCAUUGCAUUACAAUCAAAAUCUAAAACAUGUUUUCUAAAUUUGUAAUAUGUUUUGGUACCUAAAACAUAUGUUCAUGGGUUUUAUCAGAGUACUACCUACACAAUAUAAUCUUUGGAACUACCAAUAUCAGAGAAUCUCAGUCUCUAAAAUAAAGGGGGGGGGUUAGUGGGAGUGGAAUUUUUAUAGAGUUGGUUGAUUCUAAAAGUCAAGAGAUUUGUUAAAUUUGUAAAGAGUUAUAAAGAGUAUUUCAUAUUUUAAGAGUUUAUGAAAAUGUUCUAAUUCAAGGAUUUUAAGAAUCUAGAGGAAAUAUGCAAGAUUUUUGAAGUUUUGUUUUAUGAGUAAAAUUAUCUAGAAUUCAAUUCCCAAUAACUCUAGAUUUGAUGAAAACUUAGAAUCAUUAAAAACCAAACUUUUUGAAUAACAAGAGAUUUUGUAAGUCAUUAAACAAUCAUCAAACCAAUAACACUAGAUUUUAGUAAGAAUCUUAGAAUCCACCAACCAAUAACAAUAGAAUUUGAGAAUUUUAACAAUCAUUACAAAUUUAUAUCCGACUAAUAUCCCCUGAGUUGGUUUGGACUAAUUUUGUCAUAUUUGUAUAGAUAUUUAGCAACAUAUAUAUAUAUACUAAUGAUUUAAAGCAACAAGAUUGGCUGAUCAAUUUAGUUGUCCAGUUGAAAUCUUUCAAAAGUAUGUGAAAGACUAAAGUCAAAGUAAAUAUGGAUUUAGAAUAGUAGUUAUAUUUUACUAACCAAAAUACCGAAAAAACCGAACAGAAUCGAAACCAACCCGAUAUCUGGAUUGAACACCCCUAAUCCAAAUGAAGCCAAACUAUUGUUUCAUUCUCCAAAAUAUAAUAAAAAUAAUAACUUAAUUCCGCGCAAGGCGCGGGUCUUAUCCUAGUACUUGAAUAAAAGGCUAGGUUUUGGCACUAGGAGAUUUUCCAUGAGCAAGCCCCAAGGCUCAAGUAUUUAAACUUGAACCGUCACUGUAUUCGAAUAAUUAUUAUGAUUCUGGAACACGACAUAAUAUCUUCUCUAAUCCUGUGGAAGUUCUAACAUCAAUAUCGUAGUGAUCCUUCUCUUUCAAGGGGGAAAAAGUGCUGGUGGCCACGGUCGUAUCAAGAAAAGUUUUAUAGCCUUGGAGGCAUUAACAUAAAUUUUGAAUUAUUUGCAAGAACUUUCAUGGAAUUUGAGCUAAUUCCAAACAAACCUUAAGGAUCUUUUAGUUAGGUGGCUGAUUGUGAUUGUCGUUUUAGCUAGGGGUUAUAUUUGUCAACAAACAAACCUCAAGGAUCUUUUUAAUUAUUUCAAGUAUAGUUUGGUUUGAUGGACAAGUAAAAAGAUAAGAAAUGAUAAAACGGAAACCUUUUUACUCAGGAAGAGGCUUCGGUCCUCGCAACCUAAAACAAGUAUCAAAUUUGGUCGAUCUUUUCCCCCAAGGAGGAACAAAAAGAUGGGUUCUCAUGUUCUUAAGUCUCCCAUCACCUUGCGCUCUUACAGCAACUCCCUCGUCGGCUUCUUCUCCAACUCUCGCAAUCCUCUUCUCUCUGGUAUGUUCUAUGGUUUCUUCGCAGAUGUACGUAAUCUACUUAACUUAUGGGUUUGUUGCUAGAGACUGUUUUUUCUUCUGUCUGAAGUUUUCUUGGUUGGGUAAUUUCCACAAACACUUAGAGUGCAUUGUCAAUUUCAUGUUAGGUGAACAAAAUCAAUCUAAUCGAUGGGAAAACCCAAAUUUAUAGUCCUAAUUGUCAAAUUCUAGAGGAAAGAGACAACCUUUGUGAUUAAAAAAAUGUUGUUCAGUUUUAGAUGAAAUGUUGAAAGCUUUGUUUUUUUUUCUUUUUCAUUUUCGUCACUGAUGAUUUGUAAUUAUCUGUUCAGCGAGAUGGGUUAAAGCAGGAGAAGCCAGUUCUGUCAGAUGUCUUGCUUCUGCUAUACGUGGAAAGAAGUAAGCUGUCUUUUCUUUUAAUAUCAAUAUCAAGAAGCUUUACAUCUUUCUGUAAUGAAACUCUUCUUGUUCUAUAACAGCAAGAAACAGAGACUGGAUGAGGCAUGUCUCGAAAGGUAUCAGGAAUACAGUCGCACACUAAUACAAUCAUGGAUUCUACAAGGUACUUACAUAUAGCGCAUUGUUCUUGGUGUAGCUUAAUCUUUAGUGUUAACUAUGCGACAAAAGCUUAACUCUAGUGUGUAUGUUAAUUUAGGCAAAGUUCUUGUGGAUGGGAAAAGAGCCAGUAAAGCUGGGAUGCCUGUAGGAAAUGAUGUAUCCAUAAAGAUUACAGCUGAGGUUCCCAAAUACGUAUGUAGGUGAUUAUUACUACCCUAUCUUUAUAAGGUUUCCUUAGUGCUUUGAGAUCUUCGUUUUUUUUUGUCGACUGUCCUCUCUCUGUUCUCUUCAACUUGCAGAGGUGGGCUGAAGCUGGAAGCUGCAAUAGAGAAGCUAGAUGUUGACGUUUCUGAGAAAGUGGUUCUUGAUUCUGGACUUUCUACUGGAGGGUUUACAGAUUGUUUGCUUCGUUAUGGUGCCGCUCAUGUGUAUGGUGUUGAUGUUGGUUAUGGUCAGGUGCUAAGCUUUGUUCAACACACAUUGUUUGAUUUUCUUUCCUGCAAAAUCUUAAUCUCCUAAUUACUAAUUAGUCAGUGUAUUGUAACAGGUUGCGGAUAAAAUCCGCAAUGAUAAGCGCGUGACUGUUAUGGAAAGGACAAAUGUGAGAUACCUCCCAGGACUCCCGCAGAAAGUCGAUGUAGUGACACUUGAUCUCUCCUUCAUUUCCAUUCUCAAGGUAAGUUUGGUUCUGUUCAUUUUGUUUGCAGAAACUAUGAUGAUUGUUAUGUUUUUUACAUGCUUAAAACUUAAUGAACAGGUGAUGCCAGCUGUUAUGAAUGUGAUGAAUGAAGAUGCAACUUUAGUUACCCUUGUUAAACCUCAAUUUGAAGCUCGACGAUCACAGGUAAUCAAAACUAUUUGAUUAUUUACACAGUUAAACUCUGAAAAAAGCAUACAAAUCUUCUCUGCAAUUAUUAUUUUUAAUUUGUUCUUCAACAUUUUUUGUUUCCUUUCAAGGUUGGGAAGGGUGGGAUAGUGAGAGACCCCGAAGUACAUCAGGAGGUAUGUUUGUAUUUCCCUUUAGUCUUUGUGACAGUUGAAUCCUUGUCUGUUCUUUCUAACGUAGUGGUUACUAUCUUUGAUGGCUUGAGAAGGUUCUUGAGAGGAUAAUAAAUGGUGUUGAGAACUUUGGAUUCACCAACAAAGGGUUUAUCGAAUCUCCCAUCAAGGGCGCCGAUGGAAACAUAGAGUUCUUGGUUCGCUUCGACCGAGGGACAGUUAAAAAAAACGAAGAAGAAGAGUAGCAGCAGACUUUAUAUAUUUUCAUUGCUGGGGAAAUGCUAUUGUAUCUUGUCACUCCUCAUUUUAAAACUAUUCUUUUGUUUUGGUGAUAUCAUUUAUUAUCCCAAAGAUUAUCAUUUCAAAGAAUCUUAAGAAGAGCAAAUUAGGGCUUACACAUGAAUCUUUUGGGUUUUAUUGUUGAGAUGUAUCAAUCAAUACAAUGCGAUGUAAAAAAAGGUAGAAAGCACAAGAGCUACAUGAUAAUAACAAAUACCAUUGUGUUAUAAUGGCAUGAAUAUUCAGUGUGUGUAUAAAGAACUUGGAAGAGACUGGACUUGAGUUCUAAACAAGUCUUCUACCUAGAGAAGCUAUCUCAUUGUAAUGCUUCAAUAGCCUUGUAUUGUCACUGCAAUAUUGAAGCAAGCUGAUUGGAAGAGAGAAAAAAAAAAACAAAAAAAAAGGAACUUUCGUUGUAGCAUUAUGAAUGUGAAUCUGCAUACCACUUAGCUCUAUGAUCUUAAAUCAGUUUUCGGUUCCAACAAUGGACGAUUCAUUGUUACUUGAAGAUUUUGCAUUUUUGGCAGUAUACAUAUGCACAGGUGGAGGCAAAAGCUCUUCUUGGAUGGCCUGCAAACCAAAACCCUCAGGAUUUAUGAACAGAACCAAAUAAAAAACAACCGAUGUACUCUGCCAAAACAUCUGAAGACACAUAGACAACAUACCAACCAACCAUUCUUCCCUCUCGCGCCGCCUUUGAUGUAAUAAGCCUCUUUAAAUCCAUUCUCAACCAGCAAUUCAGCCACUUUCAUGGAGUUACCAUCAAAACUGCCUUCCACAUCAAAACAUGUAAGACAAACACAAAGCAAUAUCUUAAAAAAAGUAUGAAGCUUUUGGUCUAAAUCCUUACUUGUCAAGUACACAAACAACUGUGUUCUCCGGAUCAGAGAAUCCUCCUUUAACUCUCUUCACGAACCCCGACUCAUCUUCCUCACUAUACGGAACCUGAACCGAGCUCUUACCCAGAAACUUGAGACUCGGCGACGCCAACGAGGCCAACGUCUUGUCGUCUCUGAUAUCAAGAAGCUGCGAAUCAGGCUGGCUCUUGAGCUUAAGAAACGCGUUGAUGGCGGUUAUCGGUUUAUACUUCCUCAGGUAGAAGAUCGCCGCCGGGUAGACGACGAGGUAGAUGAAUGUGCAUCCCGCCACGAAAAACGGGUACUUGUUGAAAAAGUUGUCGAUCGUGAUCAGAAUCGACUCCAGAUCGAUUUUUCCGGUGGAUUGGUCGGAGAUUGAGGUGAAGGGUUGUGUUGAUGCGAGGACAGGGGAACAGAGGAUGGUGUGAGAAAGGGUGAGAGAGAGAUUGGUUUUGGACAGAAGGUGUAGCGAAUGAGAUAUGUUGUUGAGUGGAGCUGUGCGACUUUGGUCGGAAUUUGGAGUUUGAGGAGUGGAGGGUUUGGAUAGGUUUCGCGGAGGAGAAGAUGCGAGAAUUGUCGGAAGAGACGACAUCAUAACUAAAUGGCGACGAGAGACGAUGAGUGGAAGCGCCAAGAGGAUAAGAAACAAAAUAAAGGGCUCAUUCUUGUAAAAUUGGAUAAACACUAAAAGAUGAUGUCAAAACUGUAAAUAACUACUUUUGUCAAUUAUUAAUUUACAUAAAAAAAAAAAAAAUUGAGAACUAUUAAUUUUAGAUACAAUUGCCAAAACAAUUUCCCAAUUUAUCAACAAAUUUUCCCAGCUUUUUGUCUAUACUAUUUUUAGGGCAAUUCUCUUAAAUAACAAUUUUUAAGUUUUUGUCACAAAAAUAGUCUUCAAAAAGAAAAUGACAAAAAUAGCUCCAUUUUAUUUUGAAAUUUUUAAUAUUUAUUUUUAUUUUUUUUAAAUUUGAAAUCUUAUCAUCAAAACCCCCUAAUUCUAGAUUAGUUAACCCUAGAGUCAAAAUACAUUUUUACUUUUCGAUAAAACUUAUUUUGUUUAUUUUCUUCAUUGAACGUUAUUUUGCGACAAAAACUUAGAAAGAUAUAUCUUAGAAAAUUUCUCCUAUUUUUAUCACGUUAAUUAAUGAUUUUGUCUUUUCUCUAAGUAUUUUGGUUUCAGUUAAAUAAAAAUAACAUUACAUAUGAAAGAAAUUUUAAUAGAUUAUUUAUUUUUGCUUAAGUCUUAAGAAGAGAAAAAAAAACUCUGUAUUGUCAAACACUACUGUUUUGAUUUUCCAUCUAACGACAGUGAAUUCUGAUUUAUUCAUAAAAUUUAAGAUGAACAAAUUUAAAAUGUAAACCUAUAAUAUUUUACACAAAUUUAGAAAAAAAUAAAUACUUGCGUCUCUGUUUCCCUCCUCUCUCUAUAUAUUAUGGCAAAACAAACUGGAUACAUUUUACACAACACAAAGCUGAUCCCAUCUUAAUAAACUAAUGAGAUGAGUUAUGUUCAUCGUCUGAAGAUGAAGAAGAAGAAGACUGCUUUCGUCCGAAUAGUCCAGGCAGAGGCUGUGGCAGCAUUGGGUUCACAGGAACUGGAAACUUGUGAGCAGAACUAACCAUUGUUCUUUCGUUUAUCAUCCCUACUUCUUUGCAGACUCUGUCCACUACUCCGAGGAAGUCUCGAACCACCAAGAAUAUCCUAAACGGAUGUGCUUCUUCUUUAGCCGAGUUCCCAUGGAAAUACUCUGUGAUCUCUUUCACGAGAGACAACGCUACGCUCUCUUGAGCUUGUACUCUGAUGAUGUCUUCUUCAGCUCUUUUCAGAAACGUGUUCAUCGAUUCCAAAAACCUCUCGCUACUGCUGCUGCCGCUUUCUUCUCUGACCGUUGAUUGGAUUUGGACUGCUUCGUUGAUCUUGGCAAUGCCUUGGGAAAGCUUGGAGACGUAGCUGCUGAGUACUUCCGAGUCCAUUGCCGCAGCUUUCUUGACGUUGCCAAGCUCUGAAGAUAGACUUGAUACAACUUGGAGGCCGAGUUUCCUGCAUUUGAUGUCAUCCGUUUGUGUAUUGUUGUCACCUGAGAGACGUGUGCCUUCUGCUCGGAUGAUCUCUUGAACAACGAAAUGCAAGAGAGUUGUUUUCCCAUCAGCGCCUUUGACAUCGACCAGCUUGAGGAGCGUGUCGAGCUUGAACGCAUGUGCGUCGCCUCGGUUCGUCCCAACGUUCAUGCGGUUUCCUGUCUUUAGAACCGCUUCUAGAAGCUUUAAGAACAUUCUGCUGUUCCUCAGUUCCUCACAAGCAGCCUACCCCAUAAAAGGUUUGAUUCGUUACAAACACAAAUGGUAGCAAGAGAGAGAGAAGAUAGCUUUGCUUUAUACAUUACCUCAAGAGUCUGGAAAGAGUUCUUCAGGUAUUCAACCUCGGAGUCAAAGUUAGCUACAUAGAGCAUUGCGUCAACUCUUUUAAAGGCAAAAGGGAUGUCUAGCAUUGCCUUGAGGAACUUCUCAGCAUGUCCAAGCUUUACAGGCGAAUCAUCCUUGUACUCUUUUAACCUGCGCUCUUCCUCUUUCGUUGGGGCCAUCUUGAGUAAGCUCUCUAGAAGUUCAGUCCCAAGUGUUUCGGCAUUGCCUGAAAAGCAUAACAUAACAACAAUCAUUCAGGACAUCAACUUCUUAGAUCAUAGCUAAACAAACGCAGAUGAAAUGUGAAACUAAGUAUGUGACAGCAUAGGUUACCUUCAAGAAGCGCUUCACAGACUUCUUCAAUAGUGACAUUAAGUGCACGAAGCAGGAUUGCAAUAUUCUGAGCCUUCUUAGGGUCCAAGACUCUGUUCUCUUGAUUCGGGCUUGGGAGAGCGCAUCUUGGAGUAGUCUGGCUCUGAUUUGGUUUGGAGUCUAACGACUUUGCCACAAACAACGUUUCAAUCAUCUCUUCAUCUAAUCUGCAAUCACACCAAUAAAAUUUCAACAACCAUAUUGUGACAAAGAAACUAUGAGAUUAACUCACUUGAAAGAGCUUGAACGAAGCUGAUCCCAGACCAUCUCACGGUCGGAACUUGCUCUGACUUUAUCCCAGUGCAAAGCCUUAAGCUUCGGUUUAGGAGUUUCCUCUGCAGGCUCAUUGGCACUGAACGUCUCUUUUAGAGUCUCUUCUGGUGAAGUCUUUGGAAGGUUUUCGGAUGGGAUCACAAAAGGAUUCGAAGGCGGCGUGAGAGGAGGUGGUCGGGACGCCUUAGGAGUCGCUUGAUUCCGUCGUGCCCAUGUCGGAAACGGUGGAGGAGGUGGCGGAGGCGGCACUCGUGCAGACACCGGAGGCUGUAGAAUCUGAGAUGAAAUGUUGGAGAUUCGUGGAGAUACAUCUAAGCUAUGGCUAAAGUCUCUAUCCGGAGAAGACGAAAGAGACGACGACGAGGCAGACUGUGGAUCGUGAGAAGCUUUCUCCGGCGGCGACUUGUGAGAAGCUUUCUCCGAACGCAAUGCAUCCAACUCGUUAAGGAAGCCUUGUCCCGGGCGCCGCCUUUGAUGUAAUAAGCCUCUUUAAAUCCAUUCUCAACCAGCAAUUCAGCCACUUUCAUGGAGUUACCAUCAAAACUGCCUUCCACAUCAAAACAUGUAAGACAAACACAAAGCAAUAUCUUAAAAAAAGUAUGAAGCUUUUGGUCUAAAUCCUUACUUGUCAAGUACACAAACAACUGUGUUCUCCGGAUCAGAGAAUCCUCCUUUAACUCUCUUCACGAACCCCGACUCAUCUUCCUCACUAUACGGAACCUGAACCGAGCUCUUACCCAGAAACUUGAGACUCGGCGACGCCAACGAGGCCAACGUCUUGUCGUCUCUGAUAUCAAGAAGCUGCGAAUCAGGCUGGCUCUUGAGCUUAAGAAACGCGUUGAUGGCGGUUAUCGGUUUAUACUUCCUCAGGUAGAAGAUCGCCGCCGGGUAGACGACGAGGUAGAUGAAUGUGCAUCCCGCCACGAAAAACGGGUACUUGUUGAAAAAGUUGUCGAUCGUGAUCAGAAUCGACUCCAGAUCGAUUUUUCCGGUGGAUUGGUCGGAGAUUGAGGUGAAGGGUUGUGUUGAUGCGAGGACAGGGGAACAGAGGAUGGUGUGAGAAAGGGUGAGAGAGAGAUUGGUUUUGGACAGAAGGUGUAGCGAAUGAGAUAUGUUGUUGAGUGGAGCUGUGCGACUUUGGUCGGAAUUUGGAGUUUGAGGAGUGGAGGGUUUGGAUAGGUUUCGCGGAGGAGAAGAUGCGAGAAUUGUCGGAAGAGACGACAUCAUAACUAAAUGGCGACGAGAGACGAUGAGUGGAAGCGCCAAGAGGAUAAGAAACAAAAUAAAGGGCUCAUUCUUGUAAAAUUGGAUAAACACUAAAAGAUGAUGUCAAAACUGUAAAUAACUACUUUUGUCAAUUAUUAAUUUACAUAAAAAAAAAAAAAAUUGAGAACUAUUAAUUUUAGAUACAAUUGCCAAAACAAUUUCCCAAUUUAUCAACAAAUUUUCCCAGCUUUUUGUCUAUACUAUUUUUAGGGCAAUUCUCUUAAAUAACAAUUUUUAAGUUUUUGUCACAAAAAUAGUCUUCAAAAAGAAAAUGACAAAAAUAGCUCCAUUUUAUUUUGAAAUUUUUAAUAUUUAUUUUUAUUUUUUUUAAAUUUGAAAUCUUAUCAUCAAAACCCCCUAAUUCUAGAUUAGUUAACCCUAGAGUCAAAAUACAUUUUUACUUUUCGAUAAAACUUAUUUUGUUUAUUUUCUUCAUUGAACGUUAUUUUGCGACAAAAACUUAGAAAGAUAUAUCUUAGAAAAUUUCUCCUAUUUUUAUCACGUUAAUUAAUGAUUUUGUCUUUUCUCUAAGUAUUUUGGUUUCAGUUAAAUAAAAAUAACAUUACAUAUGAAAGAAAUUUUAAUAGAUUAUUUAUUUUUGCUUAAGUCUUAAGAAGAGAAAAAAAAACUCUGUAUUGUCAAACACUACUGUUUUGAUUUUCCAUCUAACGACAGUGAAUUCUGAUUUAUUCAUAAAAUUUAAGAUGAACAAAUUUAAAAUGUAAACCUAUAAUAUUUUACACAAAUUUAGAAAAAAAUAAAUACUUGCGUCUCUGUUUCCCUCCUCUCUCUAUAUAUUAUGGCAAAACAAACUGGAUACAUUUUACACAACACAAAGCUGAUCCCAUCUUAAUAAACUAAUGAGAUGAGUUAUGUUCAUCGUCUGAAGAUGAAGAAGAAGAAGACUGCUUUCGUCCGAAUAGUCCAGGCAGAGGCUGUGGCAGCAUUGGGUUCACAGGAACUGGAAACUUGUGAGCAGAACUAACCAUUGUUCUUUCGUUUAUCAUCCCUACUUCUUUGCAGACUCUGUCCACUACUCCGAGGAAGUCUCGAACCACCAAGAAUAUCCUAAACGGAUGUGCUUCUUCUUUAGCCGAGUUCCCAUGGAAAUACUCUGUGAUCUCUUUCACGAGAGACAACGCUACGCUCUCUUGAGCUUGUACUCUGAUGAUGUCUUCUUCAGCUCUUUUCAGAAACGUGUUCAUCGAUUCCAAAAACCUCUCGCUACUGCUGCUGCCGCUUUCUUCUCUGACCGUUGAUUGGAUUUGGACUGCUUCGUUGAUCUUGGCAAUGCCUUGGGAAAGCUUGGAGACGUAGCUGCUGAGUACUUCCGAGUCCAUUGCCGCAGCUUUCUUGACGUUGCCAAGCUCUGAAGAUAGACUUGAUACAACUUGGAGGCCGAGUUUCCUGCAUUUGAUGUCAUCCGUUUGUGUAUUGUUGUCACCUGAGAGACGUGUGCCUUCUGCUCGGAUGAUCUCUUGAACAACGAAAUGCAAGAGAGUUGUUUUCCCAUCAGCGCCUUUGACAUCGACCAGCUUGAGGAGCGUGUCGAGCUUGAACGCAUGUGCGUCGCCUCGGUUCGUCCCAACGUUCAUGCGGUUUCCUGUCUUUAGAACCGCUUCUAGAAGCUUUAAGAACAUUCUGCUGUUCCUCAGUUCCUCACAAGCAGCCUACCCCAUAAAAGGUUUGAUUCGUUACAAACACAAAUGGUAGCAAGAGAGAGAGAAGAUAGCUUUGCUUUAUACAUUACCUCAAGAGUCUGGAAAGAGUUCUUCAGGUAUUCAACCUCGGAGUCAAAGUUAGCUACAUAGAGCAUUGCGUCAACUCUUUUAAAGGCAAAAGGGAUGUCUAGCAUUGCCUUGAGGAACUUCUCAGCAUGUCCAAGCUUUACAGGCGAAUCAUCCUUGUACUCUUUUAACCUGCGCUCUUCCUCUUUCGUUGGGGCCAUCUUGAGUAAGCUCUCUAGAAGUUCAGUCCCAAGUGUUUCGGCAUUGCCUGAAAAGCAUAACAUAACAACAAUCAUUCAGGACAUCAACUUCUUAGAUCAUAGCUAAACAAACGCAGAUGAAAUGUGAAACUAAGUAUGUGACAGCAUAGGUUACCUUCAAGAAGCGCUUCACAGACUUCUUCAAUAGUGACAUUAAGUGCACGAAGCAGGAUUGCAAUAUUCUGAGCCUUCUUAGGGUCCAAGACUCUGUUCUCUUGAUUCGGGCUUGGGAGAGCGCAUCUUGGAGUAGUCUGGCUCUGAUUUGGUUUGGAGUCUAACGACUUUGCCACAAACAACGUUUCAAUCAUCUCUUCAUCUAAUCUGCAAUCACACCAAUAAAAUUUCAACAACCAUAUUGUGACAAAGAAACUAUGAGAUUAACUCACUUGAAAGAGCUUGAACGAAGCUGAUCCCAGACCAUCUCACGGUCGGAACUUGCUCUGACUUUAUCCCAGUGCAAAGCCUUAAGCUUCGGUUUAGGAGUUUCCUCUGCAGGCUCAUUGGCACUGAACGUCUCUUUUAGAGUCUCUUCUGGUGAAGUCUUUGGAAGGUUUUCGGAUGGGAUCACAAAAGGAUUCGAAGGCGGCGUGAGAGGAGGUGGUCGGGACGCCUUAGGAGUCGCUUGAUUCCGUCGUGCCCAUGUCGGAAACGGUGGAGGAGGUGGCGGAGGCGGCACUCGUGCAGACACCGGAGGCUGUAGAAUCUGAGAUGAAAUGUUGGAGAUUCGUGGAGAUACAUCUAAGCUAUGGCUAAAGUCUCUAUCCGGAGAAGACGAAAGAGACGACGACGAGGCAGACUGUGGAUCGUGAGAAGCUUUCUCCGGCGGCGACUUGUGAGAAGCUUUCUCCGAACGCAAUGCAUCCAACUCGUUAAGGAAGCCUUGUCCCGGAGAAGAGAGUAGCUGAGACUGCAAUCCUUGACGGAGGUUGCUCAUGAACGCAGGUAACACCUCGGGAGACUUCUGGAAGCAUCGGUACGGUGACGUGGAAGCAGAAGAAUGCACGGGCGAUCGCAAGUAAGCUUCUGGAGUGUCGUUAGGUCGUCUCUCCGGGGACGUUGAAGCGGAUGAUCGUGAAGAGCUUCGAGGAGAGUCGUCGAGAUUGUGGAGAGAGUUUUUUUCUUUGUUCUCUCUCUCUGGUGAAGUCGUUAGAGAUGUAACCGUCGGAGAUCUCGAGAUUUGACCUAAUCCUCCUUCAGCGUUUUUCACCGGGCAGAGUCUCGGCGAUAAGGAAGCUAGGGAGAGGGAUGGAGACCUCACCAAUCGAAAGUCUGUUAUCUUCGACGGAGAUGGUUCAGAGCUUCCCGGAGAAGUCUUCGGUGGCUCUGGUGCGGAGAUUACAGUUUCUUUAGGCUCGGAUCUCUUCGGACUCAUCGACGGAGAAAUGCUGAUGAAGGUCGAUCUCCCCGGUGAGCCUGAGCUUGACGAUGAGCAGGAGAUAGUGUCGUUAUUCACAGAUCUAGCGUUUUGAUUCGGAACCGAUGAGAAAACUCUCCGUGACUCGGAUCCGACCCGGGUUAGCGUCUCCCGCCCGCUCGCUGAGCCUCUGGGGGAGUAAAACUCUUCUUCAUCCUCCUCUCCUAUCGAUCCAACCUCCGGAUUUAGCCGGAAGCUUCGUUUCAUUAACGGAGGAAGAGGCUGCAGAUCUGGAGAUUCGAGCUUCCUUGAGCUCGAACCGUUAUUGCUCACGGAUUGAUGAUCCUCGACUCCUCUCGGAUUCACCAUCGUUCCCAAGUAAAGAAACUCUGAGCUGGUGUUGGCUGAGCUCCUCGUCGUUUGCUUACUAACUCUACCCUCAGCAUUGCGCCGUGCUGAAGGCGCUGCUGUCGUCGGAGGAGGAGGUGGAUGGACUCUGCGGCUGCUGUCGGUUGUCCACGUCUUGCUAUCAUCGGGUGCGUUACUCUCCUGGCUACUUCUUCCUCUCCUUCGUCGCCAAUAGAGCAAGGCGAUUAGGGCGGCGACUACAGCGGCGGAGGUCACGGCGGAGAUUGCGGCGAUGAGAAGCUUUUUGGAGCUAGGCGGCGAUUUAGUGGCGUGAGGGACGAUGAGAGAGGAGAUGUUGGCGGGGAAGGAUGCGAAGGAUGCUGGAGAGGGAGGCGGAGGAGGCGAAGGGUAUGUAGGGAAGAAAGGAGGUGAAGUGGCGUCUGGAGGAGUGGUGGAAGAGAAUGGGAGCUUAGGUAGGGGCGGGGAUUGAGGAGGUGACGGUGGUGGAGAAUCUACUGGGAAGAAGGGCUCGUGGAGGACUCGUCGGUCGGCGAGGGCGGAGGAGGAGAAGAGGAAGUAGAAGAACAAUAAGAAGAGCAUUGUGUUCUUUUUCAGUGAACUAGAUCUGAUACUGUAGGGUCUCUCUCUCUCUUUCUUUCUGUUUAUUUUUCUUCUUCGGGAUUUUCUCGAGGAAAAUUUGAGAAAACAAUUUGGAGUGGUGGAUCCAGCUAAGAUUCUGCUGUAAUGGUCGAACGAUCUUCUUCACUCUUUUUUUUCUUACUUAUGUGAGAGAGAGAGAGAGAGAGUGUAAAGAGGGGAGAGAGCAGAGAGUCCAAAAGAGCUGAUGGAAGGAGAGUGGUUAGUGAUUCCCUUACACGUAAUAGGGCCUGCUUUUCUGACCAUGACUAGUUAUGUUUUGACACGUGUACAAGACGUAGACUUUGUAAUAGCGUUGGUUUUCUACCGCGUUAGUGUACACACUGCACACUGCACACUGCAAUGCAAGUUGAUUUGUUAUUUUAUGAUUGUAAAUUAUCUACUACUCCAUUUCUUACGGCAGUUAUCAAAUAAGUGCGUGCUCGAGAAUUAGAGCAUCGUUAUUAUAAAAAUAAAGCAUUAAUGGUGCAUGUCAAAAGGAGUUUCUCAUUUCUUAUAACUUUUCAUCUGACAAUCAUUUUUUUUUUCUUCUUUUUCUAUCUUUAUUUUUCUUUUUUCUGUUUAUUGGUUUUCUUUAUUUUAAUCAUGAAAAACAGAAUGAAAACUCAUUCCAAGUAGAAAAUUUAUUAAUAAUGAUGCUCUUGUGGAUUUAAAUAUAAAAUGAUGGUGUAUUACUGUUUGAGGAAGUGGGUGCGUUGUGGGAAUUGUUUUUUUUUUCUGUUACCGACACUUCUCUGAUGGUCGGUUCAUGCUUCCCCCAGAUGCUCUGUAUACCAAAUGUUGGAUUAAAGAUUAUAACACCCGGAACCAAUGUACAAGUACAAUAUAUCACUUUCAGCCACCAACGCCAAUGCCUCUGAAUAUAUUUACGGAAAUUUUUCAUUUCCACAUAAUUUUUUCCUAAUUUUACUGAUAAGUUCUUAAAAAAUCUACACUACCAAUGAUUUGAUUCGUUUCUAAUAAUUUUAAUAAUGCUAAAAAUAACUGACUAGACAAAUUGUUAGAGUUGUCAUUAUUCAUAGAAUAACUUUGACUUAUUAAUGACUGUUAAAGAAACAUUAAUGGUUCGUCAAACGAAACCACGCCACAAUAAUGCAACCAAAGAAACUAGUGUAAUAGAGUAUACAGGUUCAAUGGUUAUAGCCAGGUAAGGUAAACCUAGUCCCUUUAGGGAGGCGGGUCAUUUGUUGCUAGACUCUAACGGCAAUGUAUGCACCAUGCUUGGUAGGAACAAACCGAUCACAUUUCACCAGGCGCAUCAAUCGGUUCAAGACCCUUUUUUACCUAAAUCUGACAAACAAAAUGUGAUAAUUGAGUGUAAAACUGUAUUCAUUUCUAAUAAAUAGUUUCUUACAUCGAAUAUUAAAUAUUAAAUUGAAAAUUAAAUGAAGGCUAAUACUUAAAAUUUCGAAAUUUUACUUUUGAAUACGGCUGUUUGUACUUUCAUAAUUCCUUUUGAAUACUUUCAUAAAAAAAAAAAAAAAAAAAAAAAAAGAAUACGGCUGUUUGUACUUUCAUAAUUCCUUUGCAAUAGGUUUGUAUAUUCAUACCACUAACUAGAUUUUCUGCUUACUGUGAUGCAGUCUAUUCCUCGCGAUUUUAACGACCAUUUUGCAAUAUGUGAAGCUUUGACUGAAUUUUUCUCGUGUCGUUUAUUAUUUUCUCUUCCACUAAAUAUGGUAUAGAGCAGCAGGAACACAUACCUCAGCAAAAUAUAAUAAUGUGUACAUUUAAGCUAUUGCAACUAAUGAGAUGCAUUAAAUUAAAUAAGAUAAUCUCUGUUUGUAGAUGACAAUGAAGUGGAAAUGUAAUCUUCAGCAAAUGUAAGAAGUUAGUAACUAGCUCUAUCUACUAUAAAGCUAAUUAGGUUACUGAAAUUGGAACCUGUGAAGUUUCUUGGCCAAUGAUCUACUUAAAGAGGGUUGGGUUUAAAGUUCAAACAAGAAUCCGCUUAUAUAACUGUUAUAUGCUUGUCAAAGAACAUUGUGCAUCAUAUAGGUGUUUGAGAAUAUCGGUCAAAUUCACUUCAAAAGGAAAAUGGUUGUAUUUGGAGAAUUGUAAGUAUUUAAGAUGGAUGCUUUCUUCUUUGAAUUUAAUAGAGAACCUUAUACAAGCUCACCAACUCGCAAGUUUGACGGUUUUUAUCUAACGUAUCUUAUAGGGAAAAUAGACAUUUAAAUCCUCGACUAUUUGAAAUCAACAAGUUUGAUAUUGAAGUAUUGCUCGCACGAUUUUAUUUCCCAGCAAAUAGUUGACUUGGCAAAUUUGUGACUAAAAAAAUCAGUCAUUAAGUCAUAAACGAUUCUUUUUAGUUUUAUAUCAAUUAUCUUCGUCAUUGAACCUGAAAAAAUCGAAAUUCUCAAAUUCAAACCCUAACUUUGAGUGAUGACGAUUUUUGGUGACAACAAAGGCGAUUUCCGGUGAUAAAGAAGCAAACCCGGCCCGAUCACUAAAUAAAUAUCACCGGAAAUCACCUUUUUUUGCUGUCGGACAAAGAUUUAGAAAGGAAUAUCCUAUGAAAUUUCUCCUAUUUUUAUCAUGUUAAUUAAUAUUUUGUCUUUUCUCUAAGUUUUUUGGUUUCGUUAAAUAAAAAUAACAUUACAUAUGAAAGAAAUUUUAAUAGAUUAUUUGUUUUUGCUUAGAAGUAAGUCUUAAGAAGAGAAAAAAACUAUGUAUUGUCAAACACUAUCGGAAAUCGUCUUCACUCAAAAUUAGGAUUUUAAUUUGGGAAUUUCGAGUUUUUCAGGUUCAAUGUCGAAGAUAAUUGAUAUAAAACUAACAAAAAUAGUUUAUGACUUAACUGCUGAUUUUUGUAGUCAUUAAUUUGCCAAAUCAACUAUUAGUUGGAGAAUAAAAUCGUGCAAAGCAAUACUUCGAUAUUAAAUUUAUUGAUUUUAAAUAGUUGAGGCUCAUUUUCCCGUAUCUUAUAUGUUAUAAUUUUCUUGGGAACCAUGUUAUACAUACAUGUAUACUUAGUCGAAUAUGUGUACAAUAUAUAACUAAUACUUCCAUGUUUACAUUUAUAUAAUAUUAUUUUGUUAUUACAGUUUUAAUUAAAUAUAUCAUUAACUUUCUAAAAAUAAGCAAAAGAUGAGUCAAAAAGAUAGAAGACGAAGACAAAAUAAAAUAAAAAUUAAAAAAUUCACUCAAGGCCUAAAACACCCAACAAUCCACAUUCUAUACAUAUUAUAAUGAUGUUUUGUGGUCACUGGAGCCUCGAGGCAGCGGCAUGUGACCUAAAAUCUUAUUCAUUUAAUAGCUAGUGUAGCUUUAGAUUUUAGUGAAUCAAACCCAACAUGUUCUAGCAAUGUUACGAUUUUGUUCGCUUCUGCGCAAUGAUAGUUUUUGCGACUAGUCUUGGUUCGUUUGAGAUAUGAAAAUUUGAGUUUAUAAAGUUUAAUCCUUAAUAAUUGAACAGUCAUUUGCCUAUCGCUGAUCGUUGCACUUAGUCACUUGAUCGUUGUCAUCAGUUGUUAUUUUUGGUCGUUGCGGUUAGUGCCUGGGAACCGAGUACAGUUAUAUACAUUUAUGAUUGUAGUAAAAAUUGUGAAACUAGAUUCGCAUAUAAGUGUAUGGUCUGAUCUGGUCUUGUUUUUUUUUUGAACGGCCACCAAAAUCAUAACCGCAUCCACACACUCAAAAUUAAUGAUUCAGCUCCAUUGCCACAGACAAAAGAUAAAAAGAAAAGUUGAAUCAGUGGAAGCUUUUCACAAAAAGAUGUGUGAGUAUAGUAAAUUAGUAACGUUGCCUUUUUGAAAACGUUAAAAAGUCCAUUAACCUUCCCUUUUCCUCUUUUAGUUGCAAAAUGCAAUGAUGCGAUAUUAUUAGGAUCGAGAAUAAUCACACCUGUAUUUAUGACACAUCGAUCAUAUAUGUGAGUUUAUUAUUAUGAUACAAAUUCAAGAAUAAUCACCCAAAAUUGGAAGCAUGCACAUCGAUUUUAUACACAUCUUUGUACUUGUAUGAUCCUUGUUUUCACUUAAAUUAGUAAUGUAAUUUCGUUUCUUUUUUCGAGUAUCUGAAGCCCAGUGGCGGAGGUACGUUGAAGGGAGGGGGGUCAACUGACCCCUAUGUUUUUUUUAGAAAAAUAAACUUUUCUUGUAUUUUUGCAAGAAAAAUUAACAAAAUGUUGUAAAAUUAGUUUAUUGACCCCCCUAAUAUUUCCUAAAAAUCAGUUUAAAGCCAAGAUUUUUCAAACCAAUAACUAUAUUGACCCCGGUAAAAAUCAGUUUAAAGCCAAGAGUUUUCAAACAAUAAUAAACAACUAGGAUAAGACAUGCGUCUUGCGCAGGAUGAGUUUAUUUGUAUAUAUUAUCGAUAGUUUUUUUUAUAUAUGUGAUCAUUUUAUUUAUAUAUAUAAAAUAUUUUUUGUUGUUAUUAUAUAAUUUCUUUCCGAUGGAUCGGAUCAAUUUUUAUUAAAAAUAAUGGAACAAAACUAUAAUUAAUACAUCAUGGGUUGAUCGGAUUGGACAUUAAACAAAUUAUGACAUAAAAACCUUAUUUUUUCCAUCGAACACAUUCUUGAAAAAAGUGAACAGUAUUGUUUUCACAGUUGAAUUAUUUUGACUUUUAUCUUCCAUAUGNNNNNNNNNNNNNNNNNNNNNNNNNNNNNNNNNNNNNNNNNNNNNNNNNNNNNNNNNNNNNNNNNNNNNNNNNNNNNNNNNNNNNNNNNNNNNNNNNNNNNNNNNNNNNNNNNNNNNNNNNNNNNNNNNNNNNNNNNNNNNNNNNNNNNNNNNNNNNNNNNNNNNNNNNNNNNNNNNNNNNNNNNNNNNNNNNNNNNNNNNNNNNNNNNNNNNNNNNNNNNNNNNNNNNNNNNNNNNNNNNNNNNNNNNNNNNNNNNNNNNNNNNNNNNNNNNNNNNNNNNNNNNNNNNNNNNNNNNNNNNNNNNNNNNNNNNNNNNNNNNNNNNNNNNNNNNNNNNNNNNNNNNNNNNNNNNNNNNNNNNNNNNNNNNNNNNNNNNNNNNNNNNNNNNNNNNNNNNNNNNNNNNNNNNNNNNNNNNNNNNNNNNNNNNNNNNNNNNNNNNNNNNNNNNNNNNNNNNNNNNNNNNNNNNNNNNNNNNNNNNNNNNNNNNNNNNNNNNNNNNNNNNNNNNNNNNNNNNNNNNNNNNNNNNNNNNNNNNNNNNNNNNNNNNNNNNNNNNNNNNNNNNNNNNNNNNNNNNNNNNNNNNNNNNNNNNNNNNNNNNNNNNNNNNNNNNNNNNNNNNNNNNNNNNNNNNNNNNNNNNNNNNNNNNNNNNNNNNNNNNNNNNNNNNNNNNNNNNNNNNNNNNNNNNNNNNNNNNNNNNNNNNNNNNNNNNNNNNNNNNNNNNNNNNNNNNNNNNNNNNNNNNNNNNNNNNNNNNNNNNNNNNNNNNNNNNNNNNNNNNNNNNNNNNNNNNNNNNNNNNNNNNNNNNNNNNNNNNNNNNNNNNNNNNNNNNNNNNNNNNNNNNNNNNNNNNNNNNNNNNNNNNNNNNNNNNNNNNNNNNNNNNNNNNNNNNNNNNNNNNNNNNNNNNNNNNNNNNNNNNNNNNNNNNNNNNNNNNNNNNNNNNNNNNNNNNNNNNNNNNNNNNNNNNNNNNNNNNNNNNNNNNNNNNNNNNNNNNNNNNNNNNNNNNNNNNNNNNNNNNNNNNNNNNNNNNNNNNNNNNNNNNNNNNNNNNNNNNNNNNNNNNNNNNNNNNNNNNNNNNNNNNNNNNNNNNNNNNNNNNNNNNNNNNNNNNNNNNNNNNNNNNNNNNNNNNNNNNNNNNNNNNNNNNNNNNNNNNNNNNNNNNNNNNNNNNNNNNNNNNNNNNNNNNNNNNNNNNNNNNNNNNNNNNNNNNNNNNNNNNNNNNNNNNNNNNNNNNNNNNNNNNNNNNNNNNNNNNNNNNNNNNNNNNNNNNNNNNNNNNNNNNNNNNNNNNNNNNNNNNNNNNNNNNNNNNNNNNNNNNNNNNNNNNNNNNNNNNNNNNNNNNNNNNNNNNNNNNNNNNNNNNNNNNNNNNNNNNNNNNNNNNNNNNNNNNNNNNNNNNNNNNNNNNNNNNNNNNNNNNNNNNNNNNNNNNNNNNNNNNNNNNNNNNNNNNNNNNNNNNNNNNNNNNNNNNNNNNNNNNNNNNNNNNNNNNNNNNNNNNNNNNNNNNNNNNNNNNNNNNNNNNNNNNNNNNNNNNNNNNNNNNNNNNNNNNNNNNNNNNNNNNNNNNNNNNNNNNNNNNNNNNNNNNNNNNNNNNNNNNNNNNNNNNNNNNNNNNNNNNNNNNNNNNNNNNNNNNNNNNNNNNNNNNNNNNNNNNNNNNNNNNNNNNNNNNNNNNNNNNNNNNNNNNNNNNNNNNNNNNNNNNNNNNNNNNNNNNNNNNNNNNNNNNNNNNNNNNNNNNNNNNNNNNNNNNNNNNNNNNNNNNNNNNNNNNNNNNNNNNNNNNNNNNNNNNNNNNNNNNNNNNNNNNNNNNNNNNNNNNNNNNNNNNNNNNNNNNNNNNNNNNNNNNNNNNNNNNNNNNNNNNNNNNNNNNNNNNNNNNNNNNNNNNNNNNNNNNNNNNNNNNNNNNNNNNNNNNNNNNNNNNNNNNNNNNNNNNNNNNNNNNNNNNNNNNNNNNNNNNNNNNNNNNNNNNNNNNNNNNNNNNNNNNNNNNNNNNNNNNNNNNNNNNNNNNNNNNNNNNNNNNNNNNNNNNNNNNNNNNNNNNNNNNNNNNNNNNNNNNNNNNNNNNNNNNNNNNNNNNNNNNNNNNNNNNNNNNNNNNNNNNNNNNNNNNNNNNNNNNNNNNNNNNNNNNNNNNNNNNNNNNNNNNNNNNNNNNNNNNNNNNNNNNNNNNNNNNNNNNNNNNNNNNNNNNNNNNNNNNNNNNNNNNNNNNNNNNNNNNNNNNNNNNNNNNNNNNNNNNNNNNNNNNNNNNNNNNNNNNNNNNNNNNNNNNNNNNNNNNNNNNNNNNNNNNNNNNNNNNNNNNNNNNNNNNNNNNNNNNNNNNNNNNNNNNNNNNNNNNNNNNNNNNNNNNNNNNNNNNNNNNNNNNNNNNNNNNNNNNNNNNNNNNNNNNNNNNNNNNNNNNNNNNNNNNNNNNNNNNNNNNNNNNNNNNNNNNNNNNNNNNNNNNNNNNNNNNNNNNNNNNNNNNNNNNNNNNNNNNNNNNNNNNNNNNNNNNNNNNNNNNNNNNNNNNNNNNNNNNNNNNNNNNNNNNNNNNNNNNNNNNNNNNNNNNNNNNNNNNNNNNNNNNNNNNNNNNNNNNNNNNNNNNNNNNNNNNNNNNNNNNNNNNNNNNNNNUUUUGUUACUGAUUCUUCUUCUUCACCUACCUUUAACUUUCAGGUGUAUGAACUUGAGGAGCAGGGGUCCAUCAAACCUAGUUCCAAUAGUAGCAGACAUCAGAGCUUUCGAGAGGGAGUGUGCUAGAGCUAGAAGAGAACAAGAACAACAAGCCCACUUGCAGAGAUUGGAUAUUGAUAUGGCAGAUCCACCGCAAGGGGCAGAACACCAACCGCGGGCAGCUCGACCCAUUGGUACUUAUGACCGCCCCAACAUUCUUGGUCAUAGACUAGGAAUCCGAGCACCGGCUGUGGCAGCCAACAACUUUGAGGUCAAGUCAGGACUCCUCAACGUGAUCGAGAACAACAAAUAUCAUGGCUUGGCUUUAGAGGACCCAUUCGAUCACUUGGACAGGUUCGACAGCUACUGUGGGUUGUCAAAAACCAAUGGUGUGUCAGAGGAUGCCUUAAAGCUGAAGUUAUUCCCUUUCUCUUUGGGGGAUAAGGCACGUCAGUGGGAGAAGUCUCUACCCAGCGACUCUAUCACCACUUGGGAUGAGUGCAAGAGAGCAUUCUUGGAGAAAUUCUUCUCAUCCUCAAGAACUGCUAAGCUGAGAAAUGAGAUCUCCAGUUUCCAACAGAAGAACUUGGAAGGCUUCAGUGAAGCCUGGGAGAGAUUCAAGGGAUACCAAGCUCAAUGCCCACACCAUGGUUUCUCUAAGGAGAGCUUGCUGAGCACAUUCUACCGUGGUGCUCUUCCUAAGUACAGGGCCAGACUGGAUACAGCUAGCAAUGAGUUCUUCUUGGGGAGAACUGAGGAAGAUGCAGAGGAGCUGGUUGACAACAUGGUAAAGAGUGAUGCAGUCUACAGUGGAGACCACGACAGAAACAGCCGAACAGAUGAUAAGCAAACGAGGAAGGAGUUGAAAGCCCUACAGGAUAAGAUAGACAUCCUCCUUGCUGAUAAAGCCACACAAGAGCAGCUGCACUUUGUUGGUAACCCAAGUCAAGAGACACCACCUGUUAUCCAUGAGGUUAAGGGUUUGGAAGGUCAGGAAGAGCUGUGUUUCAUCAACAACAAUGGUAGCUGGUACAAAAAAGAGCCCAACUUUCAGUACAACAACUACCAACAGAAAUCCUACCCCAACAACCAACAGAGUGGUUAUCCGCCUCGAAACAACCAGCAAGGCAGCUAUCAACCUCAUCAAAACCCCUCAUCUGGUUCCUCUGCUCCUCAAGAGAGCAGCACUGACACCCUGCUGAAACAAAUCUUGGAGUCUCAGACUAGAAGUGAGAAGCAUGUUGGUUAUGAGUUGAAGAACCUUCAUUCCAAGAUUGAUGGGAGCUACAAUGAGCUCAACAACAAGUUCUCACAUCUUGCUUCUAUAGUCAAGAAUUUAGAGAAUCAGUUUGCUUCCAUGAACACUCACCAGACUCGCCAGCAAGGAUCCCUACCUGGAAAAUCUGACCAAAACCCCAAGGAGGCCAAAGCUAUCACCCUCAGGAGUGGUAAGCAGUUACCUCCUACAACCCUCACCAAGGAUGCUGAGAAAGUAGGUGAGGAGGUGGCCAUCAACUUAGAUGAUGAAGUGGUGAUUGUUGAUGAGAAAAUCAAUGAUGAAAUCUUGGAGAAGAUUGUGGAAGCCAAGGGUAAAGGAAAGGUUGGGGAAGAGAAGAAAACAGUAAAAGAUGGUGAAGUUCUUGCUCCAGCAAGUGAGAAUUCUUUUGUUCCUCCUCCCUAUGAACCCAAACUACCAUUCCCUGGUAGAUUCAAGAGGCAGCUGCUAGAGAAGUACAAGGCUUUGUUUGACAAGCAAAUGAGUGAAGCUCAGGUUGCAAUGCCCAUCAUCGAUGCUUUCAUGUUGAUUCCUCAAUACAACAAGUUCCUGAAAGAUGUUGUAGCUGCAAAGAAAAAGGAAAUGGAAAGCAUGAUGAUUCUUACCCAUGAGUGCAGUGCCAUCAUCCAAAGGCUUGAUGUUCCAGAGAAGUUAGAGGAUCCAGGAUGCUUCACACUACCUUGUGCUCUUGGACCUAUGAUAUUUGAGAAAUGUCUCUGCGAUUUGGGAGCUAGUGUCAGCGUGAUGCCUUUGUCUGUUGCAAAGAAGCUUGGAUUCACUCAAUACAAGAAGUGUAAACUCUCUCUGCUGUUAGCUGAUCGUUCAGUGAAGUACCCUGUGGGCAUCUUAGAGGACCUACCUGUGAAGAUUGGAAGGUAUGAGAUACCUACAGAUUUUGUGGUGCUUGAGAUGGGUGAGGAGGCUCAGGACCCAUUGAUUCUUGGAAGGCCAUUCUUAGCUACAGCAGGAGCAAUUGUUAAGGUGAAAGAGGGCACGAUUGAUCUCCAUUUGGGUAAAGGGCAUGUUCUCCACUUUGACAUCAAGGAGAAAAUGAAGAAACCAACUGUGUUCGGGCAAGCCUUCUACAUUGAAGAGAUGGACACUCUUACUGAUGACCACCUUGAAGAGUUACCACCUGACGAUGAGGAGGAGGGAGCAUCUCCCUCUACUCAUUCUCCAUAGAAGGUAACCCACUACUUUCCCUUGUAUAUACCAUUUCGUUUUUGCAUAUUAGUUUUCUCUUUUUGGGUAUCUCUCUCUCCUUGACAACACAGAGACUGUGUUAUUUAAGUUUGGGGGAGGUACCAAGUAUUUGAUCACGUUUGCUUUGAUGAUUUUGAGUCUCAUGCAUUGCAUUAUACAUAUAUAUUUGCAUAAAAAAAAAUUCAUUUAGUUUGCAUCAUUGGCACUUCUAGGAGAGUCUAAAGCAUAUAGGUUGCAUUUACUUGCAUUGGGAGCAAUGAGUUGAAAUGCCUUGUAAAGAACACUACUUGCACCUGAAUAGCUUAUGCACCUCUCAAAAACACUUGUAUGCUUCGAGCCUUGAAGACUCUUCCUGAAACUUGUUGAUUGCUGAAACUCAGUCUUUGAAGCCAACUACAACCUUAUUUGAACUAAACGAACUUAAUGCUUCUUGCUGAUGGUCCCUUGUGUACUGAGUCAUGGCUAUACACACCUGAGUUGUCACAUCCUUUAUGCCAAUCUUAUUCUGACAAACUCUAGUGGUAGACCACUCCCAAAACCUUUCCCUCCUUUUAAGCUUUAAUUGUUUGAUGAGUGAGGCCUUCUUCGGAAAGUCUUACAUGUGCAUAAUGUUGAGAGUAUCGGGAACGACAAUGCUUGAUCUUCAUUCUUGCUAGAUUGGGCACUCUAUUGUCUAGCCAUAGGUUGGGGGGGGGGUGAGAGUUGUGAUUAUGAUUUGGGAGCAAUGAAAAAGGAAAAGAAAUGACUCUUUGUGUUUAAGUGAAUUGUCUUACUGGGAUAAGUAGAAAAACCUCUAGCUCAAGUUAUGAAAAGUCUUGGCCCCCAUUUAAAAAAAAAAAAAAAACAUAAAAUAUGAAAAGAAAAGAAAAAGAAAGAAAAAGGGGGCUAGUAAAGUCGUUAGGAGCUAAGUAAUGUUUUGAGGUUGUGAAAAAUCCCUUGUAGAUUUCAAAGAGAAGGAGUUAAUGUUCUUAGGAUCUUUUGGUGAGAGAUGUGAGUUGGGUUUGACAUUUGAGAAUGAUUGUGUAAUUGUAUGUUUGGGAAAAGGGUAGAACAAUGGAGAUUGAGCAUUGUAUGCAUGAGUUGGUCCUUUUCUUAGAUAUAUUAUGUGCAAUGUCAAGGCUACUUGUUUCGAGAGUAAACCACCUUAAAGAUCAUAUAUUUUGAAUCUCUUGACUCACCUGAAUAAAAGUUUUCCCUUACUCAACCAAAUGAUUUGGACCAAUUGACCAUUUGCAAGAAUUCACCUGAUGUUUUGUGCUUAAUGAAUGUGAGAGUUGGUUGAUUUGAAUGUGUGGAUGCUUGAUGAUGAGUGUAAGGGCAAAAAGAGUUGAGAUAGGCCUAGAGAAGCUAGAGUGUAACAAGAGAGUGUGCUCAUGCUGGAUUAGAUGUUGAAUCGAGUACUAGUUGUGUUUCUUUUGGCUAUGAGCUCCCACCUUCAAACCUCUCUCCCUAUGAGUUCUAGAAAGUUCACUUGUGGACAAGUAAAAGAACAAGUUUGGGGGAGUUGAUAUCUUGCAUAUUUCCAUUAUCUUAUCCAUUCAUCCAUGUGCAUUUUGAUCAUAUAGACUAGGAUUUAGUCAUGUUUAGGUUACAUUUUGCAUACAUGAGUCUCUAUCAGGUGUUGGAGUGCCACAUGGAGUUCUUGGGGCUAUUUGGAUGCAUUUGGAGCUCAAAGGAGGUGAAAUAUGUGAUCAUUGGACGAGCAGAGCAGGGGAGCGAGGUUCCACAGCGACGUCAUGAGGUCGCUCCAAAGCACCUCUCAGAGCGACCUAGCUGGAGCGACCCCGUGAAGUCGCUCGCCAUACUCACCCCGUGAAGCGACUUGCCCAGAGCGACGCGCCGAGGUCGCUGCCAUACUCACCCCGUGAAGCGAUUUGCCCAGAGCGACGCGCCGAGGUCGCUCGCAUCUCACACCCCUCUCGGAGCGACCUCCUAAAGCGACACCAUGAAGUCGCUCGCGUUCUCGUCACUCCGAACAGUCUUAGAUGACCCUGGAGCGACCUCUCAGAGCGACCUAUCAAGGUCGCUCCCGAUCCAGAGCGACCCGUUGGAGCGACACACCAAAGUCGCUCGGGACCUCUCGCCCGGAAACACCAAAAAUCGGCCCUGGAGCGACCUUCCGGAGCGACACCUGCAAGUCGCUCCGCGUUAUUUUGCAGCCGAAAAUCAUGACUUCUCAAGGACCUGGAAACACCAAAAAUCGGCCCUGGAGCGAUCUUCCGGAGCGACACCUGCAAGUCGCUCCGCGUUAUUUUGCUGCCGAAAAUCAUGACUUCUCAAGGACCUUUUUGUAAUUUAUUUUGGACGUUUUACAUUUCUAAAACCUAUGUUUUAAACAUCUUAGGCAGCCAGAAGGCAGAUUAUCUUUUGAUCUAUUGAGAAAUACACAAAAACUCUCUUGAGAAGUUCAUCUCUUGGAUUUUGAUUGUUAUGUUCUUGUGUUAUUGUUGAUUUCUUAUCUAUUUCUCUACAUGAUUAAUCUGAAAUCCAAUAUGGGUUUAAGAGGAAUCAUGGAGAUUAGUGAGUAAUCACCUUUUGAAUUCAUGGGUUAGGGAGAUUAAGGGUGAUUAGGUUAGUUCUAGGAUGUUUUAGUGUAGAUCAUUCUUGUUCCUUGCUAGUAGAGUAUUCUUAAUGCAUCUUCUGAGUUGGUCACUCAAAAGUUGAUCAAUAGGCAUUUCCCACCCGAAAGGUGUUUGAUGAAAUGCCUGAGACAACUCUCCUAAGCUUUUAGUAUACUUUGCCAAAGACAUUUGUUGUUAAAGAUGCUAAGAUAGCUAAUAGACUUGUUAGUAAUGAUUGCUUUCAUAUUAUUCAACCAAAGACAUUUGAUGUUUGAGAUAUGUUAGCAAAUGAGCAUUCAUCUAGACAUAGAGCUUGCUUAGAAUUGUGUCUAGGCUUAAGGUUGAUAGUUUGAUUGAUCAUUUGCCAUCCUUAGUUCGAUACUUGAUCACCCAAGGUCUAAUCCCUAUGCCCAUGAGUUCUCUUUUCCCUUAGUCAAGAAAGUAUCAUUCUGUUAUUGCUUUCUAGUUUUAGUCAUAGCUUAAAACUCAUCUAAAUCAUUGGUUGCACUUAGAUUAAGUGAGUACUUGCAUUCUCAGUGCUUUGAUAUCCCUUAGAACUGGUUCGACAAUCACUAUACUACAACAUUUGUCUUAGGAGCUUGAAAACUCUUAAUAUCAUGUUAUCAAAACAAAACAGUAAACAAAAGUGUAGAUACUUCUACACUGAAAUCUGAAUGAAUAUCAGUAUUAAAGUAGUUAUCAGAAGCAAACAACAAAAUAAACAACGGGAAGAUUUCUAAAGCAUAUGCCAUAAACAUAACUAGAACUUGACAUGGUAUUAGUUUUUACGUAUUUAUACAUUCAUAUUAGUUUUUCACGAUUAGUGCUAUAUAUUUUAGAUAUGUCUCCAUAUAACUAAUUGAAUUCAAAAGAUCCGGAUCGAACCGAAUAAUAUGAUUAUUUUUGGUUCAAAUAUCCAAAUCAUUUUCAAAUACAUUCGUUACUUGAAUAUUUUUAGUUUUAUGUACAUCAGAACCAAAUUCAUACAGACCCGGGAGAUCCAACUUGAAACUCACACAUAAAUUUAUACCCAAACAUGGCCUAAUUUCAAAACCCAAAAAAUCUAUACCCGAAAAAAUGACCCGUACCUAAAUGGGUACCCGAAUGUCUAUGCCUAAAAGAUUCCAUAAACAAAUAUAUAUAUAUAUAUAUGUGUGUGUGUGUGUUUGGCUAAAUUAAGAGAAAUAGAAAAAAAUUUAUUUAGUAAUAUUUUUACAAUAUUAAUAAUGAUCAAUAUAUGAAUAUCGAUUUGUUUAGAUAAGUUUUGGAAUUGUAAUUAAUUAAUUUAAAUUGAUUUUAAAUGCAGUGGUAAAAUCCGUAAAUAAAAAGAAAUACAAAAAGGAAGUACCUAAAAAGAAAUUUCAAAACCCAAAAAAUCUAUACCCGAAAAAAAUAACCCGUACUUAAAUGGGUACCCGAAUAUCUAUGCCUAACUGAUUCUGUAAACAAAUAAAAAAAUUAUUUUAAUGUGUUUGGCUAAAUUAAAUGAAAUAUAAUUUUUUUAUUUAGUAAUAUUUGUACAAUAUUAAUAAUGAUCAAUAUAUGAAUGUCGAUUUGUUUCGAUAAGUUUUGGAAUUGUAAUUAAUUAAUUUAAAUUGAUUUUAAAUAUAGUGGUAGAAUCUAUAAAUAAAAAGAAAUACAAAAAGAAGUACUUAAUUUAUUAUAAAUGCAAUAACUAAAUGUAUAAAUAAAAGAAAAUACAUAUACUGCUAUCCAAGUUUCCAAACAAUUCUCAUUUAAUACUGUCAGCCAUGUUUUCAAGCAAACUUCCUUUUUAAAUUGCAUGUUUCCAAACAAACUUAAUUUGUACUUCAAUUUUAAUAAUAUAGAUAUACGACAUCUUCUCAUUAUAAUAAUGAUUAGCAAACAAAAACGAACAAGUGGCUAUAUCACUGUACAAUUGGAUUUAAAAUGUGAGUAUAUUAACAUGUGGCCGCCUGUAAUUGCUAGAUUUGAUGAAUUCAGCAAUGCAUGAGGGACGAACUUCUCUUUGUGAUAAUAACUCGAUUAGUUAUGUUAUGUAGUUGCAUUUAACAAAAAGAAAUAUGAUGUGCACUACUAAAAGCAUAUGAGUAUGUGCAUUGGUCGUAUUAUUGAACAAUAAUUGUGUAGGCAAUUUAGUUUUUCUAUUUAUUUCUGUUUUGUAAAUUGCGCUGCAAACAAAGAACAAGCCUCGAAGCUCGAGAUUCCACUGAACCUCUGACAUACUACAUAUACUACAUAUUAUAGCUUAAAAUAUGAGAUAUAUAUGAAUAUAGUAUGAUAUUACUCGUGGUGAUUUAAAAUUAAUUGCUUUUCGAAUUUUCAUUGACUUGACAAUGUAAACACAGCAUGAAAUCGCAUAACACUCCGCCAAUUCUUUUUUUUUUCAAUAUUCUGUUGUUCAACGAUCUGUCGUGUACCAACCCAUUAUAUCGGCUAGUCAAAGUCCACAUUUUGCAUUAGUUAGGAGUUAGGAUUAAUUUAGUGCUCAUCAACUGGGCUGUCGAGAACGGUCUCCAGUUAAUAAGGCUUCGGCAGCAUCAGCAUGGGGCUAACAUCACUGCUAUAGAAGAGACAAUGAAGGCUCGAAAAUUUCCUACAAGAGAUUUUCUUACGUUCAGUCAUCGGCCACGGUCAGGCAAGGGCGGAUCUAGAAACAAAUAUAAUUGGGGGCACAUAAAUUUUCUUCACUGCAUUUUAGUUUUGGGUUAGGGGCAUUUCUACAUACCUUAUAGUAUUUGUUAAAGGAAGUUAGAAAUUAGACGGGGGCACGUGACCCCGUACGCUACUCUAUCCAUCGGCCACUGGAGGCUCUGAGCCACCUUUAGAAAAAUUAAAUGCCACAUUCUCCCACUCUUAAUAGAUUGAUAUUUUAAAGAUUUUUUUUGUUUUAAAUUAGAUGACAUUUUAAAUUUUGAAUGUAAAAUAUAUUAACAACUUUUAUAAUAUGACCAAUUGUAUUAUAAAAUCUAUUUUAUUAUUAGUCAAAUUAUGUUUAGGUGGAUAAUAAAUUAUGUUUUUAUGAACAAUGGAUAUUCUUUGGUUUAGAAUACAAUGUAGAGAUACAACCAUAAAAAAUAAAAAUUUAACGAUUGUACGGAUAUCAAAUAUAAUAGAGAAACAAUAAUAUCUUCAAAUUCGUAUUGUUGUCAGUCUUCUUGAUGCAUAUUGUGAUUUCAACGAUAUAUUUUGAUACCAAAAAUAUUGUAACAAAAAUAUAAAUUCUGAAAAUUUCUUUUUUUUGUCUGAAUUCUGAAAGUAAAUUAUUCAUUCAUUCUUGAAAUCCUCUUUCAUAGUUUUUUUUUUCUGGUGGACGUUGUUUUCUUAAAAAAAAAAAUCUGUUAAGAUUUGUUUCAAACAUCAAAAAGUCAUCAUAAAAUCACUAUAACCACCAAAAACACUUUGAUUGAUUAAACUUAAUUGGGUUGGUUGUCUUAUCGAUCAUGGCAAAAACAUACAUGCAGUAGAUUGUAACAACGAAUUGGAAGAAAGAAUUCAAUCCGCCAUAAAUUAAACAUGAAAAACUUCUAAACUAGAGAGAAGAACAAAAAAACACAUAAGCAUCUUACUAUCCCAUCGACUCAUUUAUUCAUGCCUUGAUUGGAUAACUGAGAGAAGAACGCAACCGCUUCUCAAUCGCUACUAUCAGCUCUCUCUAACCGAAUCCUAUGUUAAUAGGUGUUUUGCCCGCACGUGCGGACUUAAUCGUUUAAAAAUAUUAUUGUUUUAUAUUUUAUUAAUUAAAAACCAGUAUGAUAACUUAUUAUUUAUGUUUUUAGAAAAAAAUAAAUCAAAGAUGAAANNNNNNNNNNNNNNNNNNNNNNNNNNNNNNNNNNNNNNNNNNNNNNNNNNNNNNNNNNNNNNNNNNNNNNNNNNNNNNNNNNNNNNNNNNNNNNNNNNNNAAGCUCAAGCUAUUCCCUUUCUCUUUGGGGGAUAAGGCACGUCAGUGGGAGAAGUCUCUACCCAGCCACUCUAUCACCACUUGGGAUGAGUGCAAGAGAGCAUUCUUGAAGAAAUUCUUUUCAUCCUCAAGAACUGCUAAGCUGAGAAAUGAGAUCUCCAGUUUCCAACAGAAGAACUUGGAAGGAUUCAGUGAAGCCUGGAAGAGAUUCAAGGGCUACCAAGCUCAAUGCCCACACCAUGGUUUCUCUAAGGAGAGCUUGCUGAGCACAUUCUACCGUGGUGCUCUUCCUAAGUAUAGGGCCAGACUGGAUACAGCUAACAAUGGGUUCUUCUUGGGGAGAACUGAGGAAGAUGCAGAGGAGCUGGUUGACAACAUGGUAAAGAGUGAUGCAGUCUACAGUGGAGACCACGACAGAAGCAGUCGAACAGAUGAUAAGCAGACGAGGAAGGAGUUGAAAGCUCUACAGGAUAAGAUAGACAUCCUCCUUGCUGAUAAAGCCACACAAGAGCAGCUGCACUUUGUUGGUAACCCAAGCCAAGAUACACCACCUGUUGUCCAUGAGGUUGAGGGUUUGGAAGGUCAGGAAGAGCUGUGUUUCAUCAACAACAAUGGUAGCUGGUACAAAAAAGAGCCCAACUUUCAGUACAACAACUACCAACAGAAAUCCUAUCCCAACAACCAACAGAGUGGUUAUCCGCCUCGAAACAACCAGCAAGGCAGCUAUCAACCUCAGCAAAACCCCUCAUCUGGUUCCUCUGCUCCUCAAGAGAGCAGCACUGACACCCUGCUGAAACAAAUCUUGGAGUCUCAGACUAGAAGUGAGAAGCAUGUUGGUUAUGAGUUGAAGAACCUUCAUUCCAAGAUUGAUGGGAGCUACAAUGAGCUCAACAACAAGUUCUCACAUCUUGCUUCUACAGUCAAGAAUUUAGAGAAUCAGUUUGCUUCCAUGAACACUCACCAGAAUCGCCAGCAAGGAUCUCUACCUGGAAAAUCUGACCAAAACCCCAAGGAGGCCAAAGCUAUCACCCUUAGGAGUGGUAAGCAGUUACCUCCUACAACCCUCACCAGGGAUGCUGAGAAACUAGGUGAGGAGGUGGCCAUCAACUUAGAUGAUGAAGUGGUGAUUGUUGAUGAGAAAAUCAAUGAUGAAAUCUUGGAGAAGAUUGUGGAAGCCAAGGGUAAAGGAAAGGUUGGGGAAGAGAAGAAAACAGUGAAAGAUGGUGAAGUUCUUGCUCCAGCAAGUGAGAAUUCUUUUGUUCCUCCUCCCUAUGAACCCAAACUACCAUUCCCUGGUAGAUUCAAGAGGCAGCUGCUAGAGAAGUACAAGGCUUUGUUUGAGAAGCAAAUGAGUGAAGCUCAGGUUGCAAUGCCCAUCAUCGAUGCUUUCAUGUUGAUUCCUCAAUACAACAAGUUCCUGAAAGAUGUUGUAGCUGCAAAGAAGAAGGAAAUGGAAAGCAUGAUGAUUCUUACCCAUGAGUGCAGUGCCAUCAUCCAAAGGCUUGAUGUUCCAGAGAAGUUAGAGGAUCCAGGAUGCUUCACACUACCUUGUGCUCUUGGACCUAUGGUAUUUGAGAAAUGUCUCUGCGAUUUGGGAGCUAGUGUCAGCGUGAUGCCUUUGUCUGUUGCAAAGAAGCUUGGAUUCACUCAGUACAAGAAGUGUAAACUCUCUCUGGUGUUAGCUGAUCGUUCAGUGAAGUACCCUGUGGGCAUCUUAGAGGACCUACCUGUGAAGAUUGGAAGGUAUGAGAUACCUACAGAUUUUGUGGUGCUUGAGAUGGGUGAGGAGGCUCAAGACCCAUUGAUUCUUGGAAGGCCAUUCUUAGCUACAGCAGGAGCAAUUGUUAAGGUGAAAGAGGGCACGAUUGAUCUCCAUUUGGGUAAAGGGCAUGUUCUCCACUUUGACAUCAAGGAGAAAAUGAAGAAACCAACUGUGUUCGGGCAAGCCUUCUACAUUGAAGAGAUGGGCACUCUUACUGAUGAGCACCUUGAAGAGUUACCACCUGAGGACGACGAGGAGGGAGCAUCUCCCUCUACUCAUUCUCCAUAGAAGGUAACCCACUACUUUCCCUUGUAUAUACCAUUUCGUUUUUUGCAUAUUAGUUUUCUCUUUUUGGGUAUCUCUCUCUCCUUGACAACACAGAGACUGUGUCAUUUAAGUUUGGGGGAGGUACCAAGUAUUUGAUCACGUUUGCUUUGAUGAUUUUGAGUCUCAUGCAUUGCAUUAUACAUAUAUAUUUGCAUAAAAAAAANNNNNNNNNNNNNNNNNNNNNNNNNNNNNNNNNNNNNNNNNNNNNNNNNNNNNNNNNNNNNNNNNNNNNNNNNNNNNNNNNNNNNNNNNNNNNNNNNNNNNNNNNNNNNNNNNNNNNNNNNNNNNNNNNNNNNNNNNNNNNNNNNNNNNNNNNNNNNNNNNNNNNNNNNNNNNNNNNNNNNNNNNNNNNNNNNNNNNNNNNNNNNNNNNNNNNNNNNNNNNNNNNNNNNNNNNNNNNNNNNNNNNNNNNNNNNNNNNNNNNNNNNNNNNNNNNNNNNNNNNNNNNNNNNNNNNNNNNNNNNNNNNNNNNNNNNNNNNNNNNNNNNNNNNNNNNNNNNNNNNNNNNNNNNNNNNNNNNNNNNNNNNNNNNNNNNNNNNNNNNNNNNNNNNNNNNNNNNNNNNNNNNNNNNNNNNNNNNNNNNNNNNNNNNNNNNNNNNNNNNNNNNNNNNNNNNNNNNNNNNNNNNNNNNNNNNNNNNNNNNNNNNNNNNNNNNNNNNNNNNNNNNNNNNNNNNNNNNNNNNNNNNNNNNNNNNNNNNNNNNNNNNNNNNNNNNNNNNNNNNNNNNNNNNNNNNNNNNNNNNNNNNNNNNNNNNNNNNNNNNNNNNNNNNNNNNNNNNNNNNNNNNNNNNNNNNNNNNNNNNNNNNNNNNNNNNNNNNNNNNNNNNNNNNNNNNNNNNNNNNNNNNNNNNNNNNNNNNNNNNNNNNNNNNNNNNNNNNNNNNNNNNNNNNNNNNNNNNNNNNNNNNNNNNNNNNNNNNNNNNNNNNNNNNNNNNNNNNNNNNNNNNNNNNNNNNNNNNNNNNNNNNNNNNNNNNNNNNNNNNNNNNNNNNNNNNNNNNNNNNNNNNNNNNNNNNNNNNNNNNNNNNNNNNNNNNNNNNNNNNNNNNNNNNNNNNNNNNNNNNNNNNNNNNNNNNNNNNNNNNNNNNNNNNUCCUAAAGCGACGCCAUGAAGUCGCUCGCGUUCUCGUCACUCCGAACAGUCUUAGAUGACCCUGGAGCGACCUCUCAGAGCGACCUAUCAAGGUCGCUCCCGAUCCAGAGCGACCCGUUGGAGCGACACACCAAAGUCGCUCGGGACCUCUCGCCCGGAGACACCAAAAAUCGGCCCUGGAGCGACCUUCCGGAGCGACACCUGCAAGUCGCUCCGCGUUAUUUUGCAGCCGAAAAUCAUGACUUCUCAAGGACCUUUUUGUAAUUUAUUUUGGACGUUUUACAUUUCUAAAACCUAUGUUUUAAACAUCUUAGGCAGCCAGAAGGCAGAUUAUCUUUUGAUCUAUUGAGAAAUACACAAAAACUCUCUUGAGAAGUUCAUCUCUUGGAUUUUGAUUGUUAUGUUCUUGUGUUAUUGUUGAUUUCUUAUCUAUUUCUCUACAUGAUUAAUCUGAAAUCCAAUAUGGGUUUAAGAGGAAUCAUGGAGAUUAGUGAGUAAUCACCUUUUGUGAAAACAAAUGAUCAAAAACAUAUAUGAAUAGAAAACAUCAUUUAAUAAAAAUUAAUAUUAAAAAUAUACUAUGUAUGUUAAUAUCUUUUAAAUUUAAUUAUAUAUCUUAACAAAUAGAAAAAAAUAUUGUUUGGACUAAUAAAAUUAAUUUAUAUGUUCGCACCAAUUUAAUUAUAUAUGUAAUAGUUACUGGCUUUUAAUAAUUCAAUAUAUAUUUAUUAUUUCAUAAGAUGUAAAAAUACAUAACACAUAAAAUUAAGUUGAUAUAUAAUGUUUACCCCGCGCCUAGAUUAGUAAACAAGAUAUAAGAGUAUACUAUAGCUUGAUCCGCGCGCCCGCGCAUGUGUUUUUACGUAUUUAUACAUUGAUAUUUGUUUUUCAUGAUUAAUGCUAUAUAUUUUAGAUAUGUCUCCAUAUAACUAACUGUAUUCAAAAGAUCCGGAUCGAACCGGAUAAUAUGAUUAUUUUUGGUUCAAAUAUCCAAAUCAUUUUCAAAUACAUUCGUUAUUUGAAUAAUUUUAGUUUUCUGUACAUCAGAACCAAAUUCAUACAGACCCGGGAGAUCCAACUUGAAAUUCACACAUAAAUUUAUAUCCAAACACGGCCUAAUUUCAAAAUCUAAAAAAUCUAUACCCGAAAAAACUACCCGUACCUAAAUGGGUACCCGAAUGUCUAUGCCUAACAGAUUCCGUAAACAAAUAAAUAAAUAAAUAUAUAUUUAUUUAUUUAUUUGUUUGGCUAAAUUAAGUGAAAUAGAAAAAAAUUUAUUUAGUAAUAUUUUUACAAUAUUAAUAAUGAUCAAUAUAUGAAUAUCGAUUUGUUUAGAUAAGUUUUGGAAUUGUAAUUAAUUAAUUUAAAUUGAUUUUAAAUGCAGUGGUAAAAUCCGUAAAUAAAAAGAAAUACAAAAAGGAAGUACCUAAAAAGAAAUUUCAAAACCCAAAAAAUCUAUACCCGAAAAAAAUAACCCGUACUUAAAUGGGUACCCGAAUAUCUAUGCCUAACUGAUUCUGUAAACAAAUAAAAAAAUUAUUUUAAUGUGUUUGGCUAAAUUAAAUGAAAUAUAAUUUUUUUAUUUAGUAAUAUUUGUACAAUAUUAAUAAUGAUCAAUAUAUGAAUGUCGAUUUGUUUCGAUAAGUUUUGGAAUUGUAAUUAAUUAAUUUAAAUUGAUUUUAAAUAUAGUGGUAGAAUCUAUAAAUAAAAAGAAAUACAAAAAGAAGUACUUAAUUUAUUAUAAAUGCAAUAACUAAAUGUAUAAAUAAAAGAAAAUACAUAUACUGCUAUCCAAGUUUCCAAACAAUUCUCAUUUAAUACUGUCAGCCAUGUUUUCAAGCAAACUUCCUUUUUAAAUUGCAUGUUUCCAAACAAACUUAAUUUGUACUUCAAUUUUAAUAAUAUAGAUAUACGACAUCUUCUCAUUAUAAUAAUGAUUAGCAAACAAAAACGAACAAGUGGCUAUAUCACUGUACAAUUGGAUUUAAAAUGUGAGUAUAUUAACAUGUGGCCGCCUGUAAUUGCUAGAUUUGAUGAAUUCAGCAAUGCAUGAGGGACGAACUUCUCUUUGUGAUAAUAACUCGAUUAGUUAUGUUAUGUAGUUGCAUUUAACAAAAAGAAAUAUGAUGUGCACUACUAAAAGCAUAUGAGUAUGUGCAUUGGUCGUAUUAUUGAACAAUAAUUGUGUAGGCAAUUUAGUUUUUCUAUUUAUUUCUGUUUUGUAAAUUGCGCUGCAAACAAAGAACAAGCCUCGAAGCUCGAGAUUCCACUGAACCUCUGACAUACUACAUAUACUACAUAUUAUAGCUUAAAAUAUGAGAUAUAUAUGAAUAUAGUAUGAUAUUACUCGUGGUGAUUUAAAAUUAAUUGCUUUUCGAAUUUUCAUUGACUUGACAAUGUAAACACAGCAUGAAAUCGCAUAACACUCCGCCAAUUCUUUUUUUUUUCAAUAUUCUGUUGUUCAACGAUCUGUCGUGUACCAACCCAUUAUAUCGGCUAGUCAAAGUCCACAUUUUGCAUUAGUUAGGAGUUAGGAUUAAUUUAGUGCUCAUCAACUGGGCUGUCGAGAACGGUCUCCAGUUAAUAAGGCUUCGGCAGCAUCAGCAUGGGGCUAACAUCACUGCUAUAGAAGAGACAAUGAAGGCUCGAAAAUUUCCUACAAGAGAUUUUCUUACGUUCAGUCAUCGGCCACGGUCAGGCAAGGGCGGAUCUAGAAACAAAUAUAAUUGGGGGCACAUAAAUUUUCUUCACUGCAUUUUAGUUUUGGGUUAGGGGCAUUUCUACAUACCUUAUAGUAUUUGUUAAAGGAAGUUAGAAAUUAGACGGGGGCACGUGACCCCGUACGCUACUCUAUCCAUCGGCCACUGGAGGCUCUGAGCCACCUUUAGAAAAAUUAAAUGCCACAUUCUCCCACUCUUAAUAGAUUGAUAUUUUAAAGAUUUUUUUUGUUUUAAAUUAGAUGACAUUUUAAAUUUUGAAUGUAAAAUAUAUUAACAACUUUUAUAAUAUGACCAAUUGUAUUAUAAAAUCUAUUUUAUUAUUAGUCAAAUUAUGUUUAGGUGGAUAAUAAAUUAUGUUUUUAUGAACAAUGGAUAUUCUUUGGUUUAGAAUACAAUGUAGAGAUACAACCAUAAAAAAUAAAAAUUUAACGAUUGUACGGAUAUCAAAUAUAAUAGAGAAACAAUAAUAUCUUCAAAUUCGUAUUGUUGUCAGUCUUCUUGAUGCAUAUUGUGAUUUCAACGAUAUAUUUUGAUACCAAAAAUAUUGUAACAAAAAUAUAAAUUCUGAAAAUUUCUUUUUUUUGUCUGAAUUCUGAAAGUAAAUUAUUCAUUCAUUCUUGAAAUCCUCUUUCAUAGUUUUUUUUUUCUGGUGGACGUUGUUUUCUUAAAAAAAAAAAUCUGUUAAGAUUUGUUUCAAACAUCAAAAAGUCAUCAUAAAAUCACUAUAACCACCAAAAACACUUUGAUUGAUUAAACUUAAUUGGGUUGGUUGUCUUAUCGAUCAUGGCAAAAACAUACAUGCAGUAGAUUGUAACAACGAAUUGGAAGAAAGAAUUCAAUCCGCCAUAAAUUAAACAUGAAAAACUUCUAAACUAGAGAGAAGAACAAAAAAACACAUAAGCAUCUUACUAUCCCAUCGACUCAUUUAUUCAUGCCUUGAUUGGAUAACUGAGAGAAGAACGCAACCGCUUCUCAAUCGCUACUAUCAGCUCUCUCUAACCGAAUCCUAUGUUAAUAGGUGUUUUGCCCGCACGUGCGGACUUAAUCGUUUAAAAAUAUUAUUGUUUUAUAUUUUAUUAAUUAAAAACCAGUAUGAUAACUUAUUAUUUAUGUUUUUAGAAAAAAAUAAAUCAAAGAUGAAAUUAUAUAUAUAUAUAUAACAAAAAAAAUUCAUUAAAAUAUAUAUGUUUAUUAUUGUGUUGGAAAUUUAAAAGAAAACAUUCACAUAUUAGAAAUAUUUUAGAAAAUAUCUUUAUACAAAAUGUUUUUAGAUGAUUAAUACUUAAUUAUAAAUUGUUUAUAUGCUAUUUUUCUAACUUUUAUAAUUGAAAAAAAAAUUAAGAUAAAACACAAUAUAUAAGAAUUGUCUUAUUUAGAAAAUUUCUAAUAUUAUUAAUUAAAAUUCGUUUUUAAUUAUAAAUAAAUUAUUUUAUAAUCCCAUAAUUUCAUUAAAAUAUAUAUGUUUAUUAUUGUGUUGAAAUUUUAAAAGAAAACACUCACAUAUUAGAAACAUUUUAGAAAAUAUCUUUAUACAAAAUGUUUUUAGAUGAUUAAUAUUUAAUUAUAUAUUGUUUAUAUGUUAUUUCCUAACUUUUACAAUUGAAAAAAUAAAUUUUAAGAUAACAACACAAUAUAUAAGAAUUAUUUUAUUUUACAAAUUUAUAAUAUUAUUAAUAAAAAUUCGUUUUUAAUUAUAAAUAAAAUUCAUUAAGGGUAACAUUGACUUUAACCACUUAUUAUAAAAAAAUGUAUAUCUUAUUUUAAACUUUUAUAAUUGAAAAAUAUGUUUUAAGAUAGCAACACAAUAUAUAAGAAUUAUCUUAUUUAAAAAUAUAUCAUUAAUAAAAUUCGUUUUUAAUUAUAUAAUUAAUUAUAUAUAAAAUUCAUUAAAGGGUAUCAUCGACUUUGGCCACUCUAACUUUUAACGUGAGAGCUCGAUUAUGAAAAUUUACUUCGAAAAUAAUAGUAUAGAUAGAUAUGACCACUGCUUUGAUAUUCUUUAGAUAGAAAAUAUAUUUAUUCUAUAUAUAUUAUAUUAUUAAUUUCUAUAUUUUAUAAAAUACUAAUUAAAAUUUUAAAUUAUUAAAAAUAAAAGAUAAAAGUUCUAUCUGACAAAAAAAGUUCUAUGAUAUUUUACUUUUUUACAAUAUAAUAUAUCAAUUAGUGAUUUCUUACUUGAAAAUAAAAUAAAAAUAUUUUACUCAUAUAAAAUAGUAUAUUUAUGUUCAGUAACAAAUUUAAAUUAAUUAAUAAUAAUAAUUAAAUUAUAUUAUCAAAUAAAACACAUUAAAAUAUGUUUAUUAAAUAUUUGGGAUGGUGUAAUUUUUAAUGUCCCAUUGGAGAUGAAAUUACAUCAAAUUUGGUGUUUUGGUGUUCCAUUGGAGUUGGUCUCGGAACAGUAUUAUGAAUGAUUAGUUGGGAUUAUUGUAUGUUUAUUUUUUAGAUGCCAAUUUGGAUUGCGUUAGACUUAUUACAAAGCAUUUAUAAAUAAUACAUUUUUUUUACAAAACAGUUUUAUAUAAUGAUAAAACAUAUAUAAAGAUAAUUCAAGGCUGCUUAUUGUUUUUUGUCUAAUUUUUUUUUUGUGAUAUAAAUUUAUUUAAAACUUUUAUACAACAUUGUUCAUAUUUUUAUAAAUCCAAUAAGUUAUGUAGCUCGAUAUAUUAUAUAUAAGGUUAUGAUGAUUUUAUAUGACAAAAAUGUUUAUAAGAUAUUGUCCAAUAAGUAAGUUUUCACUUAAAAAAGAAGAAGAAAAAGUUUUCAGUUAACAGUUUGGCUAACUAAAUAAUAUAACAUACAGUUUAUAGUACUGUUUUUUUUAUUGUAACAUACUUUUAGUAAUCAUUUAGAAUUUUUUUUGAUCAAUUACAUUUUUUUAAUUCUAACAUACUUUUAGUAAUCAUGAAAUUUUUUAUUGUUAAAAUUUUAAAUAUUUUUGACAUUGAUUUGUUUGUGUCAAAUUAAGUUAGAAACUUCAUAACUAUAUUUGGAUAGUUUCUUCCACAUAUAUGUGUAAACUUUGAGAAUGUAUAUUUAGCUAUAACCGUAAUUUUUGGAAACUGAUAUCACAAAGAUAGUAAUACUUUGUGAACAAAAGCUUUGAAAAUCUGAAACACAAUCACAACAACUGCUCAGCUGCGUAUAACACACACAUUAUGGUAACCAAGAGCUUGAGUUAGAGUUGGAGCAGAGAAGCCUUAACUGGAUAUCUAAAAUUAAACAAAAACCAAGAUACCUUUAGUGAAAAGGGACACAUUAAAAAAAAAAAGGAACACAUAAGAAAUCAGUUUGUCAGGGAUUAAGCCAGAUGAAGCAUCAUCCUCCCAUAACAGAAGGACGAAUCCAGCAGUUCAACAGAGAUGUCAGAGCUCCUAAGGAUUUUAAAGUCACAACAGAGAUGCUGGUUAACAGAACCUAAUCAUGACUUCUCCUUCAAGACAUCCAAAUGGACAACGUUUAGAGAAGAGGUUUAAUGUUCAUUUGUUAACAUUACCUGUGGAUACAAUGAUGUUAUGUGAUGGUGGCAGUGAAGAUUGGGAUUUAGCAAAGAAACUCUAGAGAGGAACUAAAACACAACACUGGAAUCAGCUAUGCUUUACAGCAACCAUCAAAAAGAUUAGACUAAUGAAUCAAGACAUAAAAAUCACAUCUUUACCAAAUCAAACUCAAGAUAUACACACACUCGAGAUGUUGAGAAUCAAGUUCAGAGUCAAAGAUCUAAAAUUUUGGUUAUCAGCCGUUAAACAUCCCCACACCGACUUUAAACUUCUUAAUAACUUAGCAAAAUCUUAAUGAAAACUGAAGCUCUGUUCAUCACCUUCUCAACAAACUUUUUGUGCUGUUUAAAAACCCAUGCAAACUUUCACUCACUUCCCUACAAAUCUUCCUAAAAAUCAUCAAAAAGGUAAUCCAAACUUCCAUCUUCUACUGUUUUCUCUUAACUAUCAUCGCCUUCUUCAUUUCCUCCUCUUCAGCUCGCUUGCAAAACCUAACCUCCAGCUGAUCCACCGUGACUCUCCCCAUUCUCCACUCUACAACCCUCUCCACAUCGUCUUCGGCCGUCUCAACGCCGCUUUUUCUCCGUUCAUUCUCCCGUUCCCUUCUUUACUCAACCAAAACCCAUCUCCAAUCCGGUUUAGUCGCAACCGGCGCGACUACUUCCCGAGUAUCUCAACAGGUAAUCAGUCAUGGUACGAAGCCUAAAUAAUGCAACGCUGAGCAUUUCAGAAGAUUAGAAGAGAAUCCAGAGCGACGCGAAAGAAGAUAAAGAAACAGAUUCGUUAUGUCGAUAUGAAUCGGAGAAACACCUACACUCCAUUGUUUUCGUUUCAGAACACAGAAGAAAUGUUCUGGCAGAUGGGAUUAAUCACGAAGCUUUUACUCGGACCGUUUAAGAUGGUGAGAAGAAGUGCAAACGGCAUCGAGUCGCCGUAGGACUCCUUCUUGUCUACAGCUGAUUAGGGUUAGAGGCGACUUCUAUUCUUUCGGGCCGAACACAGUUCGAAAUUUUACAGCCCAGACUCUAAACACGUUAACAAAGCCCACGACGGUGAAGAAUAAAUGAUACGAAAAGUGGACACAUGGCGGCUCCAGGACGCGCGACGUUCCUACGUGGACGAUGACGUGUCGCGACCAGGAGUGAGUAAACUCUACUUUAUAUAAAACUUGGCCCAACAUUUAUUUCUUAUGAUAAAAGGCCCAUUAAUAUAUAAAUUUCCCUUAAAGCUAGUCUCCUUUCUUCAAUUUUCUGAACCACGUUAGAAGAAAAACGACGAGUCCAAGAGAGAGAGAGAGUCGAAAGAGGUAAAGAGUUGCUUUGAUCUUUCUCUUUGCAAUUUCGUUUCUGAUCUCAAAGUUUGCAACUCUAUGAUCUUCUCUCUUCUGUGAUUUGUUUUCUUGUGGCGCUUAUGUCUCGUUAAGGACUUUUUGUCGCAUUAUACAUUACACUCAGCGUUACAGUUUUUAUAGGGGUUGUUAGUUUCAUCUGCUUUGGUUUAGGGUUUCAUGCAAACUAAACUCUAACCCUUGAUUAUAUUUUUGAUUUUGUCUUUAAAGUUGUCACAUUUUUUGAGGCUAUUAUUAUAUAGGAUCUUGCUUACCAGUCAAUUCACCAUCUGAGUUUGUGUGAGAGAGAGGUUGAUACAAUGCGUUAUGCACAGCUUGUUAUUGGCCCAGCAGGCAGCGGAAAGGUUAGUUUCUUUUUCAUACAAAACCAUCUCUGCAUUUCUUUAUUUUUUUUUAAUACAAGAAUGCAAGUUGAAGUUUAUGUUUUUGUGGAGCAGUCAACUUAUUGCUCAUCUUUAAACCAACACUGUGAAACUAUCAGACGAACAAUGCACAUAGUUAACUUGGAUCCUGCUGCAGAAGUCUUUAACUAUCCUGUGGCAAUGGGUGAGAAUCUCUACUUCUUCAAUGUCCCUGUCUUUCGUUUUUUUUUUUUUAAUUUAGUAACACAAUGAUCCUCUUGUCUGGAUGCAGAUAUCCGAGAGCUUGUUUCCGUUGAUGUUGUUAUGGAGGAGCUUAAAUGUGGUCCCAAUGCUGCUCUCAUCCGUUGUAUGGAGUAUCCUUUUAGGCAUUUAGCAGUCUAUGUGAUUUUGUUUUUCGUGAAGAAACCUUAACUUUAAUUCAAAGGUACCUUGAGGACAGUCUAUAUAAUUGGUUGGAUGAAGAGUUGGAGAAUUUCACAGAUGAUGACUACUUAGUCUUUGACUGUCCAGGUGUCUCUACUCUCUCUUAUAGCUCUUAAAGAGUUUCUUCUCUACAUCUUUUGAUUCAUGAUUGUUGUUUUAAUUUUUAUGUUGUGUGGGUUAUAGGCCAGAUAGAGAUUUUUACACAUGUACCUGUGCUCAAAAACUUUGUGGAGCAUUUGAAGAAGAAUGGCUUCAAUGUCUGUGCCGUCUAUCUGCUUGACUCUCAGGUUUUUCUUCCCCUUACCUUUUGAUUAUGGAGUUUUUAGUAAAAGAAAAACAAUUGACAUAGAAGAGAAUAUAUCUUGGACCAGUUUGUAACGGACAUAACCAAGUUUAUCAGCGGAUGUAUGGUUUCUCUUUCUGCAAUGAUACAGCUUGAACUGCCUCAUGUUAACAUCCUCUCUAAGAUGGAUCUCUUACAGGAUAAAAGCAACAUUGAGGAGUGAGUCUUGCUUUCUCUCUUCUUCUUUGUUUUCUUUUUUUUCCUGAAAUUUAUAAUAGUCUCAUUUGCUUGUGUUGUUUUAACAUAAUAAAAAGAUUUUUGGAUGCGGAGCCUCGCACAAUGCUGGCUGGGUUAAACCAAAGGAUGGCUCCUCAAUUUGCAAAACUGAACAAAGCCUUGAUUGAAUUGGUAAUGGUUCUUAUACGUUGGUGAAACUGAGUUGAAUGUUGGAUCAUGUAAAUCUGAUUUUUGAAUGUUUUUUUUGAAGGUGGGACAGUAUAGCAUGGUGAGAUUCACUCCGCUUGAUUUGAGGAAAGAAAGGAGGUAAUAAACUCAAAAUCAAAUUCCUUUUUAGUUUUAGUAUCAAAAUGAAAAUGUAACUGAAAUGUUUUGUGGACAGCAUACAAUAUGUACUGUCUGAAAUCGACAAGUGCAUUCAGUUUGGAGAAGACGCUGAAGUCAAGAUCAGAGAACUUGAUGAAGACAUGGAUCAACUAGAGCUCUAGAAGAGGAGUGGCUAGUUAGUAGACUGAAUUGCCUCAAAACUAAUUCCUCAGCUGUGGGUUUGAUCAUUAGAUGUAUUUACUCUUUUGCAUUUUAAAUUUCUGAUACUGAAUGCUAAACUUGAGUUAACAGACGAUUGCAAAUUCAAGAUAUUAUAACAAGAGUAUUGAGUUAUUUAAUCAUAUAUGACGUAUAUAUAUAACGUAGGCCAACAUUUUGCCAAAACAGUUAUAUCAAAGAUUGAUAAUGAAUUAUUGAUUGAUUGAGCAAUGAGCAAUGAGCAAUGAGCAUGAAAUAUAGGCUUAAGAUCAAACUAUAAAGCCUGAGACUGCAAAUUCAUGAAAAUGUCGAAAAGAUUUAAACUUAGCAUUCUCAUACUCAAAAUCCUCAAACGCAAUUAAAAUGUGAAAACAUAAGUUUAAAGUCUGGCAAAAAAAAAGUAACAAACUAAAAGAGACAUCAUGAGACGACGCUUUACUCUUCGUCGUCCUCAUCAUCAUCGUCGCCACCAGCAGCUCCAUUCAAUGCCUUGACUCUCUCAAUCAACUUGUUCUUCCUCUCUUCAUAGGUCAACUUCUUCAAGUUGUACCUGUUUAUAGAUCAAAACACACAAAUGAGACACAAACGCACCAAAACGAGCCAAUAGUAUUAAGAAAGAAUGAAAUGCUCUCACCUCUUGUGUGUCUUAGGAGCAGGUUUCUCGGUCUUCUUAGGGUUGGGGUCUGCACGGAUGGCAGCAUGAACCUUCUUGUACAACUCCUCCAUGCUCUCAGCAUCAACUCCUUUCUUCAAGUACUGACUGAAGUGAGUCUGAAACUUCUCUGGCUCAUCCUCAUUCAACAUCUUCAUGUAGUUUGAGACGUGACCACCAUAGAUGUAGUUCCUGUGGAUCUCAGCAUCGAGUUGCUUGUUCUCCUUGUUGAAACCAGCAAAUCUCUUGUCACUGUGGGGGAUAUCAAGUCCUCCGUCCAAGGCACCCUACAGUAACAAUAAACAAACUCAUCAAACACAUAACACAACAGAUAAGAAUAAGGUAUUACAACAGUUAUAUAUUACCUUGAGUGCACCAAAGACACGGUUUCCUGUAGUGGUCCUGAUAAGACCAACAUCAAGUAGAGCACGGAAUGGUCUCCUGGACUCGGUUGGCUCGACGGAAAAGUCCUCUCCGGUAGCCUGUUCAUGAUUUUAUACGGUUAGAGAUAAAGCCGGAGAUAAAGCUCAAAUCAGAUUUACAUGAAACAUUACCUCAAGGUUGCCCUCGUACUCUUCAUCCAUUUCCAACAUCUUCAGAACACGGCGAGCCAAUAGAAGCCCGGUGCAGUAAGCUGUGUUUCACAAGUAAAGGGUACUAACUAUUUAGCAAGACAGAACAAAUCAACUAUACCCAGAAAACUAAAGCAAAGGACUGAUCAGUACCUGCAGCGUAGUUGGUAAGUCCAACGGUGAGACCAUACUGAGGCAACUCAUGAGCGUAAGCAGAAGCCUUGACAAUGUCACCGGCUAUGCUUGCAGACACGAUUUGUGCGACUAUGUCUUUGUUGGUGAACCUGACAACAAAACGGUACUUUGGUGUGUUGUACUUGUUCUUGUCUUGGUUGAUGAGACGGAUCCUUGCUCUGUAAUCAGUCUUCCCAUCUGCACAAAAAUGAAAAAAACCUUUCAGAACGCAGACAAUAUAAAUCCAAAGAAACAAAUGAAGAAUCAAAUCAAAAUACCUCUCCUUCUCCUGAACUUGACUUGGUACCUCUUGAAGUAAGCGUUCGACUUGGAUGGCUUCACAAACACCUAUCAAUAUAAAAAACAUCUUAUAUCGUUAAGAGUUUUAUAUAAAGAACGAUGUAGCUGUUCUUCCUAAAGAAGCAAAGAUCUAUAUGAAAUAUCGUAAAGGUACAGCCUUUAAACAUCAAGACCAAAACCCAUUAAGAUUAUAGCCCUAUAGACUAAUGAAUUCUCGUUACCAAAGCUCAGACAAAUAUGAAAAAUCUAAGGAAACGCUGGAGAAAACUAAUGUAGGAGAUUUCCAUAUCAAACGAAAUGAAAAGCAGAAUCUUAUUGUUUGAGAAAAUUAAGAAGGCAGAGAGAUGAAAGCUAGGGCGUACCAUUGUUUGAAGCUAAGCGGAAGCUAAGCGGAAGCUUUGGGUGUGAGAUGAGAGUGUCGAGAAGACAAGAGGCGGAAUAUAAACCAAAAUGCAAGAUCUUAUAAUGAAAAACCCUAGAUGACUCCUUCGUGGGCUCUCCCUUAAUUCAACGGCCACGAUUUAUCUGGGCUUAAUAAUGUUUUAACGGUCUAGAUCGGUAUAAUGUAUUCUGCAUGGGCCCAUUAGUCUUUGUAUUUGGGCUUUUGUCUUCCCAAACUAUUCUGAGAUGUCUUUAUGUAUACUCCUUCCAUUUCGAAUUAGAUGCCGUUUUACGGAAAAAAAUUCGUUCCAAAAUUAGUGUCGUUUUAUGAUUUUAAUGCAAAAUUUAUUAAUUUUUUAUUCUAAUAUAUUUUUCUAUUGGUUGAAAUCUGGUUAGGUGUAUUGGUAAUGAUGUUUUUAUCUAGUAAAUAGAUAAACUUAAAUGUUUUAUUAAUCUGUGUGUCGAAUUCUAGAACGACAAGUAAAACGAAACAGAGGAAGUACUAAGCUUACUUAGCUCGAAAUUGUUUAAUAAAAUGCAAUAACUCAAAAUAUUUAGUGAAGUUAUUUUAUAAUUUUGGUUUAAAAAUAGUAUCGCAAAUUUUUUCUGUUUAUUGGCUUUUGGUAUUUAUUUAUUUUUGUGUCAGUCAACAAGAGUUUAUAUUUAUUUAUGUGAUGCAAAUAUAUGUUGGACUAUAAUCUUAAAAUUUUGGGUGUGACAUUACUUAUUAUGAGAGAUAUUCUAUAAUGUUGGUAUUUUUUUUUGAAACAGAGUACAAAUGAUGGAAAUUAAUCUGUAACUGAAUAGUAUGUCAUAGCUUAAAACAAAUGUACAACUUACAAAAUUUGUAACUAGUUUGUGUAGUUCUUAAGCAUGCGGCUCAGGACUGGUAAUUUGUGUAAUUCUUGAGCAUGUGGCUCAGGACUGGUAAUCAGUGUUUUAGUGUAACUAAAUCAUAUAGCUACGACUUGAAUGUAGUCAUUGUCAUUACUAAAUUAAGUGUGGGAAUUCCACCAAUAUUCUAUUUUGGUCUUUUUUUUAUCACCAAAACAUUUAUCAGGUCUGUAGCUUUCAAGUAACAGAAACGCUCCUUUCUCCGGUCCGACGUUUGUGUCGGAACCGAAGGCGUCCUCCUCCUUUCCUUUCUCUUUUUUAUUUUGCCUCCUCCCAUCUGUUCAACCUCUGUCGAUAUGCAAGCGAUUCUGGAUGUGUCCGUUUGUCACCGGAGACCUCUCUGUUGGUUAAAGGAGACAAGACGACGGUUCUGGAAAAGCGGGGAGACUGAGGAGCGACUGAAGCGGGGGAGGUCGGCUUUUAGGACUGAAGAAGCUACCAGAUCUAGUUUUCCUCUUUUCAGAUUUGGGCGAUUUCUUCGGAAUGCCGGCGUGUGACCAUUGUGGGAACCCUUCUCCGUCUUAGAUCUACCUCACUGAGCGGAGGUGAGAAGUACCGAAGAGCGAUUGACAAGCGGUGGAAGAUGUUUUGAAGCUCCGGUUCUCGGAAUCAACGUGUCGCAGAGUCCUUCGUCGCCGGAGGUGGUAGCUUUGCAGCAGGUACACGGUGAGGCUCUACUUCCCAGCGCCGGCGGUGGUCUGGUUACUUCGUCGGUGGUAUGAAUCUCACGUCAUCUGAAGCUAGGUUUUGCUGUUCCGAUUACGUUAUGCUGUCAUCAAGUCCGCCUUUUAUCAGUAUGCCAAUUCAGAAUUUGCAGGUGUACUAACUGGUGUGCCGUCUUUUCUGGCUUAGGAGCGGGACAAGAAAUUUGGUGGUGGUGGUCUAGGCCGGGAAUGCUCCGAAAGUAAUGGAAUGGAUGUGUUGGUCCAAGCUUAUCAUUCUUAUCUUUUGGUGAUCAGCACUUUGCUCUUGUAAUUAGUAGCCUGGUUUAGAUUCUAUCACUGCUGGAUGUAAGGUCUUCGUCUCUUGUGGUCGAUUUAGGUGGUUAAGAGGUGGCUCUUCCUGAGUCGUAGGAAGAGUUCAUCUCAUCGGGGUGAAAUGGGCAAUGAACAACAACCGGGUAGUGUAGGAUCCAAUCAAGUGAUCUUAAGCGAUACUAGGUUAGUUCGUUUGUCCUAGUGGUUCAAUCUCUUGAGAGGUUUAAAAUCAUGUGUAACUCCAAAAGUUGGUGAAUGAAAGUUGAUGAUGAGUUAAAAAAAAAAAAAAAACCUUUACCAGGCAUGAGUCAUGAUUAUAAGACCCACAACCGCCUAUUCACAUGACAGAAUUUGAAACCUCUUUAUUACAGGCAGAUCACAAUUCAUAAAAUGUAUUAUCAUUUUUAGCUGCUGGUGCUCGGUUUUCGGGAUACCAAAGAGCUACCUUGGGACCUUUGUGAUGAUGUGUGUUCUUAUGGUCACGAACUCCAAGUAGUUGUCACAAGGCCAAGAUUACAUGUAAAUAUAUAUUUUUUCCUUGAGAUGGAGGAGGAUUUGGUACCUCGAAACUAAGAGAAUUGUCAAAGCUAUUUUUUCUUAGGCUGAAGUGGUAUUCUAUGGUGCAUUGCAAUUCGAAGAAUUGUAUCCAUUCUAGCAAUGUAAAAUUUUUGUUUGAGAUAUCGUCUUUCUCAUAACUGAUAGUUCGAUAAGUUUUCAUUAAAAAAGAUAGUUCGAUAAAUUUAAACCCUAUAGUACCAUAAAGAAUAUUAUGCAAAAUCAAAUGCUGUGAAAUGUGCAUGUGUGACUAAUGAGAACGCUAGUGCAUUUGCUAUAGGAUCUGUAGAAUGGAAAGAAACAAUAUGUAAUGUGAAUAAACAAUGACUUUCUGAUCAGUGAUUGAUGAAGUAGGGGAAGAAGGUAACGUGAGAUUGAUCAUUUAGCUGAAUAAUAAGAUUCUCGAAUAGUUAACCAGAGGCUUUCUACAUUAAACGAAUUGAUUUGCGAUGAUCCACACACCCUUCGUUUAUGCCAAUCCCUUCUAAGUUGAGUUGAGACUAUUCUCUUCCUGGCUUUCUCAGCCUGCAAAUAAUAGAGAUUCCAGUUACUUCAAAGAUUAAAAAACAAAACAGAAUGUGGAAGUGUGACAAGCUAAAAUGACUAAUUUUCUAUUCCAAGUACUAACCUGUUCGUUCCAAUUUAUAGAACUUGUAAUGAUAUAAAGUAUAAUGGCUCUUGCACAGCGGAUCCAACCACAACACCGCACACUAUCCUUUUCGUUAAAAUGACGAUAAACUCUAACCGGAGCUCCUAUGAGAUUACCAUAUUGUUCCAAGCUCCAAUAUGGUGCCAACCACUUCCUCUAGCAACCCCAUUUAGAAUUGCAGUAAAUCCAUCAUGGAUAAAAGAAAGAUAGAGCAAUACGGGUUUGUUCAUUAGACAUCGCUCUUUGCUUUUUAAUUUCAGAUACUCGAGUUAAAAAGACUACUGCAUAUUCAAGAUUUUGUGUAUUGUUUAAUCCAAUGUAUUGUUUGAAAGGUUAUAUCAGCCUUUGAUUAUGAAAUGAUUGAUUGGUAGAGCAAUGAACAUUAAAGUACGCAUAAGAUCAAACUAUAAAAACUCCAAAAUCAUGAAAAUGUCGAAAAAAUUUAACUUCAUAGAAAAUGGCAAUCCUCAUACUCAAACGGACAUAAAAUGUGAAAACACGAGCAUAAGUUUUAAGUCUGGCAAAAAUGUAAAAAGCUACAAGAGACAUCAGGAGAAAGGCUUAAUGACGCUUUACUCUUCGUCGUCCUCAUCAUCAUCAUCCCCACCAGCUGCUCCGUUCAAUGCCUUGACUCUCUCGAUCAACUUGUUCUUCCUCUCCUCGUAGGUCAACUUCUUCAAGUUGUACCUGUUUAUCAGUCAAAACCACACAAUCAGGCACAAAUGCACCAAAAGCAUUAAGAAAGAAUGAAAUGCUUUUGUAAAUGAUUAACCUCUUGUGUGUCUUGGGAGCAGGUUUCUUGGUCUUCUUAGGGUUGGGGUCUGCACGGAUGGCUGCAUGAACCUUCUUGUACAGCUCCUCCAUGCUCUCAGCAUCAACUCCUUUCUUCAAGUACUGACUGAAGUGAGUCUGAAACUUCUCUGGCUCAUCUUCGUUCAACAUCUUCAUGUAGUUUGAGACGUGACCUCCAUAGAUGUAGUUCCUGUGGAUCUCAGCAUCGAGUUGCUUGUUCUCCUUGUUGAAACCAGCGAAUCUCUUGUCACUGUGUGGGAUAUCAAGUCCUCCGUCCAAGGCACCCUACAGUAACACCAUAAACGAACUCAUCAAACACACAAUACAACAGAUAAGAACAAGACAAAGAAUAAUGGCAACAGUUUUAUAUACCUUGAGUGCACCGAAGACACGGUUUCCUGUAGUGGUCCUGAUAAGACCAACAUCAAGAAGAGCACGGAAAGGUCUCCUGGACUCGGUUGGCUCCACGGAAAAGUCCUCUCCGGUAGCCUGUUCAUGAUUUUGAGCGGUUAGAGAUUACAGCCAGAGAUCUGAUACAUGAAACCAAAGUAAAAACAUACCUCAAGGUUGCCCUCGUACUCCUCAUCCAUUUCCAGCAUCUUCAGAACACGACGAGCCAAAAGAAGCCCAGUGCAGUAAGCUGGUUUUUACAACAAUAAAGAAGUACUCUUUAGCAAGCUAUAAAGACAGAACCAAUCAUAUAUAAAAGCAUAAGACUGUUGAAUACCUGCAGCGUAGUUAGUAAGUCCAACAGUGAGACCAUACUGAGGCAACUCAUGAGCGUAAGCAGAAGCCUUGACAAUGUCACCGGCUAUGCUUGCAGACACGAUCUGUGCGACUAUAUCUUUGUUGGUGAACCUGACAACAAAACGGUACUUUGGUGUGUUGUACUUGUUCUUGUCUUGGUUGAUAAGACGGAUCCUAGCUCUGUAAUCAGUCUUACCAUCUACACAAAAAUGAACAAACCUUUCAGAACACAGACAAUAUCAACAAGAAAGUAAUGAAGAAUCAAAUCAAGAUACCUCUCCUUCUCCUGAACUUGACUUGGUACCUCUUGAAGUAAGCAUUCGACUUCGAGGGCUUCACAAACACCUAUCAAUACAAUUCAAAUUAUUUCAUUAGCCUAUCAGUAAAACCCGAAUAAAACCUUAAGGUCUAACUGUUCUCCCCAAGCCAACAAAGAUCUAUGUGAAAUAUCGUAAGUGGCCUAUAAAACAGAGCAGAAAGGUACAUCCUUUAUAAAUCUAAGUCCAAAACCCAUGAAGAUUACAACUACAGACUCGUGAAUUCUCGUUAACAAAGCUCAGAAGAAUAUGGAAAAAAAGAGCUGAGGAAACGGAGGAGAACUAAUGUAAGAGAUUUCUAUACGAAAUGAAAUGCAGAAUCCAAUAGUUUGAGGAGAGAUACCAUGGCGGAAUAAGAGGAUAGAGAGAAGAAGGCUAGGGCUUACCAUUGUUUGAAGCUAAGGGUGUGAGAUGAGUGACGAGAAGACGAGAGGCGGUAUAACCCUAAAUGCGAAGGUCUUAUAACGAAAAACCCUAGACGACUCCUUCUUGGGCUCUAACGGCCGCGAUUUGUCUGGGCUGAUUAAUGUAUUCUACAGAGGCCCAUUAGACUUUAUAUUUGGGCUUCUGUCUCUCCGAUCUAUUCUGAGAGAGUGAGGGUUUCUCUCAUUCUAAUAUACCAACCAAUGUUUUUAAAACCCACCGUUUGACUAUGAACUGGUUGCAUAACCGGAUUAGAUCUAGUGAUUGGUUCGAUCAUAAACCGCAGAGUUAUUAAACUGAUAAAAACCAUUAAAACUAUCAAAAAUCUACAAACCACUCAUAUAUACAUAAAAUUAGUAUAUAUUUAUAAUGUUUUAUGUUUUAAAUUCAUUUAUAUUUUAAUUAGGGCAAAUCUCCAAAAUAGCAUAUUUCUAAGUUUAUAUCACAAAAAUAGCACUCAAAAACUAAAAUGACCAAAAUAGCAUUUUAUCUUUUGAAAAUUUUAAUUUUUUUAUUUUCCAAAAUUUGAAAUCUUAUCACCAAAACCUCAUUUCUCAACUCUAAACCCUAAACCCUAAACUCUAAACCCUAACUCUAAACCCUAAACCCUAAACUCUAAACCAUAAACUCUAAACCCUAAACCCUAAACCCUAAACCCUAAACUCUAAACUCUAAACCAUAAACUCUAAACCCUAAACCCUAAACUCUAAACCCUAAACCCUAAAUCCUAAACCCUACCCUUUAA
rnacentral:lncRNA from 1 species